rnacentral:lncRNA from 1 species
UAGUUGUGGACUUCAAACACUUGCUCAACUCGCCUAACCCAAUCCAAGUAAGUUUCAGGAUCAUUUUUCCCAUGAAAGGUAGGCAUCUUGGUCUUGAUGGAACCAAGAUUGUCAUCGGUUCUCCAAGGUCGGUCUCGACCUUCCCUCGCUCCUCUUUGGCUUUUUCUUGAUCAAAUCGAGGUGUUAGAAUGAUAUCCCUCAUCAUCCGCAUCAUGAUCAGCACUCUGAACACUCGAAGCCCUAUUGUAUGUAUCUCCAGUACCUCGCAUCUCAAUGGCAGCCAGCCUGUCGGAUAUUUGUGUCAUCACAAAUUCAUGUCUCUCCGCUUGUUUUUGAAGAGCUUGGAGCACCAGUUUGAGUGACACGUCAGUCUCAGACGGCUCAGGCAUGUUCCCCUCUUGAGACAUAUUGUCCAACCGGCAAAACAAGUGUAUCCUAGUCUACCUUGCAAGCACUCGUGUAUCACUCAAGGAAACACACUCGCUCUUAAUUUUCCUUCUCGAAAUUCUUAAAACAACUCAAACUCUCAAAAUUCCAGGAUUAAUUACCCUAUAAGCAAGUAACAAGACACAAAGCAGAAAUGUGCAAAUCUUAGAAAAACUCUACCCAAAGCUAGAACCUCUUUUUUUUUUUUUGAGCGGCUGUUUUUGCUGAGUUUCUGGCCAGUAUUUGGAUGGUAAAUGGUGUUUGUGGCGGUUUAGGUUUGGUUUUGGAACUGAUUUGGGGGUGUUUGGGACUGGUUAGGUCGUUUGGGGUUGUUGGAAUUCAAUUAAGGUUGGAGACUCAAGAAUUGGAAACCAAUCAAGAUUUGGAAACUCAAGUUUUGGGAAACCAAUCAAGAUUUGGAGACUAUUCAAGAAUUGGAAACCAAUCAAGAAUUGAAAACUCAAGAUUUGAGAUACUUGAUUUCCUUUGUGUGAGAGCCGAUUCCUUCUCUUCUUUGUUUUUUUUUCUUGUUAUCUCUCUUUUUUUUUUUUUUUUUUUUGCUUCGGCUCUUCAAGGAACACAAAUUCAGGUCACACCAACAAGUUCAAGAAAAACGGAUGAAAGGUUAUGCAAAUUUCAAGAAGGCCCUGGUUCUUGAUUUAUUGUUCAAGAAUUUUCAAAACAAGACUUGAUGGUCCAAGAACUUCAAGAAUUUGUUCAAAAAGCUCAAGAACUUUCCCAAAUUGAGUUGUGGUAUUUAGGGUUUGCAAGAACAACAACCAAUACUCAAGAAAUAGGCACAAUAAAAUUUCAGCAAUACUCAAAAGAAAAUUCCAGCAAUACUCUAGCAAGUUGGACACUAAAACAAUAUAAGGUACGUGACUCUUUUUUUUUUUGUCUUUAAACCCUAACAACCCAAACCCAAACAAAAGUAUAACAAACUCAAAAACAAAAGUUGGACAGAAAACACAAAAAGACAAUACCCAAACAGUUUUUUUUGUUUUUUACUCGGAUGAACAGUAAUGUGAACAGUACGCUACAGUAACGAUGAACAGUAUUUCGGAACAGUAACGAUGAACAGUAAUCGCUACAGUUUUUUUUUUGACAAAAGACACAAACUAAUAAGAUAUGAACAAUUUCAAUUGAAAGAGAAUUAACCUGAUGCUCUGAUUACCAACUGAUACGGGCAACCCUAGGGGAAGACCCUCCUAGACCCUCCCAACCUUGUAAUUAUCAGAGUUGGACCUUUUUUUCUAAUGAAAAUUGAACUCGAUUGUUCUCAUGAACUCAAGACCUCUGACACACAAAGGCAAUCAGCAACCUUAAGCAAAUAAGGAUGGAUGAAACGACACCACGAUUAGGGAACAAGCUAAUCGAUAAAGUCUGAUUUGAAUCCUAAGCCAUAAACUCAAGAAUUCAAGAGUAAGUUCGAUUAAAAACUUGAAGGAAAAUUCCUCACGAUUUCUGGUUGUAAUAUUCUGUGCCUUUACUCAUACAAGAGGUGCCUUUUUUAUAGGCUAAAACUAGGGCAAAAUCUGGCCCACAUAAACCUGAAAAAAAUUCGGUCCGCAUAAAGAGUUUAAAGAGCCAGCUCUUUAAGGCUUUCCGAUAAGGCUCAAUAAGUAAUAAAAUACUCAACGCCUAACAACUACUAAACUAGACAGUCUUAAAACAACUACCAACUAAACUAACAAAUAUGAGAUCAUGAAUGAUGCGGAUACGGGUGUGCAGCAACUUCAAUCUUGGGUCAAGGAUCCUUUGGUUAACAUUGGUGGUCCGAUGACAAGAUUAACAUCCAAGAAGGUGAAGGAAGCUUUACAAGCCUUGAUCAUUUACCAUACAAGCAAGGAGCAAGCUAGGUUUGAAGAUUUGAUGGACCAUGACAUUACUUUGUUCACUUGUACGUUUGAAGUGAAGGAAUGAUCUCAUACUUGUUAGUUUAGUUGGUAGUUAUUUUAAGACUGUCUAGUUUAGUAGUUGUUAGGCGUUGAGUAUUUUAUUACUUAUUGGGCCUUAUCGGAAAGCCUUAAAGAGUUGGCUCUUUAAACUCUUUAUGCGGACCGAAUUUCUUUCAGAUUUAUGUGGGCCAGAUUUUGCCCUAGUUUUAGCCUAUAAAAAAGGCACCUCUUAUAUGAGUAAAGGCACAGAAUAUUACAACCAGAAAUCGUGAGGAAUUUUCCUUCAAGUUCUUAAUCGAACUUACUCUUGAAUUCUUGAGUUUAUGGCUUAGGAUUCAAAUCAGACUUUAUCGAUUAGCUUGUUCCCUAAUCGUGGUGUCGCUUCAUCCAUCCUUAUUUGCUUAAGGUUGCUGAUUGCCUUUGUGUGUCAGAGGUCUUGAGUUCAUGAGAACAAUCGAGUUCAAUUUCCAUUGGGAGAAAAGGUCCAACUCUGAUAAUUACAAGGUUGGGAGGGUCUAGGAGGGUCUUCCCCUAGGGUUGCCCAUAUCAAGAAGAGAUCUUAAGAUUACAUGGUAUCCCGGUAAGUAUCGUGUCUGAUUGAGAUCCAAGGUUUGUCUCGCGUUUUUGGCAGAAAUUUCAGGAGUCUUUGGGGACUAAGUUCAAAUUUAGUACUGCAUAUCAUCCCCAAACCGACGGGUAGUCGGAAAGAAUAAUUCAAACUUUAGAGGAUCUGCUGAGGUCGUGUAUAUUGGAUUUUGGAGAUAAAUGGAGUAAAUAUAUGACCUUAGUAGAAUUUGCGUAUAACAACAGUUAUGAAUCCUCAAUUCAAAUGGCACCUUACGAAGCGUUAUAUGGGAGAAGGUGUCGAUCUCCGAUUCAUUGGGAUGAAAUAGGAGAGAAGAAGAUUGUAGAUCCAACAGCGAUAUCUUGGAUAGAAGAAGCCCAGGAGAAAGUGAAACUAAUUAGAGAAAGGCUUCAAACCGCUCAGAGUAGACAAAAGAGCUACGCCGACACAAGGAGGAAAGAUUUGGAAUUCGGAGUAGGAGACAAGGUCUUCCUAAGAAUUAAACCCUUGAAGGGCGGGGUAGUGUCUAAGAAAGGUAAGAAGCUAAAGCCAAGAUAUAUCGGACCUUUCGAAAUUUUGAAGCGAGUUGGGAAUGUAGCAUAUCAGCUGAAGUUACCCGCAAGCAUGGCUAAGGUUCACGAUGUAUUUCACGUUUCCAUGCUUAAGAAAUAUUAUUCCGACCCAAGUCAUGUGCUGCCACUGGAGGGAAUUGAGGUGGAUGAGACGUUAACGUAUGAAGAAAGACCAGUCAAGAUUUUGGAAAGAGAAGUAAAGGAGCUGAGAAAUAAGAAAAUUCCUCUGGUGAAGAUUCUAUGGAGAAAUCAUGGACUUGAGGAAGCAACUUGGGAAUUAGAAGAAAAAAUGCAGAAAAAGUACCCUGAAUUAUUUCCUUAGAAAGUGUGAAUUUUGAGGACAAAAUUCUUUGUAAGGAGGGGAGGAUGUGAGAACCCUGAAAAUAUAUAUAAGCCAGUGCAUAUUUCAUUUGCAUUUCUUUUAUUCCUUAAUAAUUUCUAGCAUUAUUUUUACUUGUUUGCAAUUAAGUACGUAAAAACAGGGUUAUGUGAAAAAUAAUAUAAUUUUCCUAAGUUAUGAAAUUUCUUGGUUUUGCUAGACUAAAUUAAUAUCUUUAGAGUUAGAUUAAUUUUUUUUCUUUUUUUCGCCUUAACAUAAAAUGUUAGAAUACUUAAAUUCCUUUAUGUAAAAUUAAUGAUACUUGAGCCGAUUAAUCUUUUUACCUUAAAAUAAAUUACUUGAAACUCAAUGAUUAAUUCCAAUUAGCUGCUAGCGUUAUAUGUUAAAAGGAAAAUUUUCACGGUAAGACGAAAUCAAUGAAUUUUAGAUAAAUAUAAUACAAGUAUGCUAAACAUACUUAAGGCAUGAAGUUACGAUAAUUAAAGUCUUGCAUGACUAGUGUAUAAUUAGGCGUUCAAAUCACACUUGGGGAUAAUUUUUGGAAUUAAGUUAGAAUUGAGAAUUUAAGUAGAGGUUAGGAAGAAAAGUGAAAAGACUAAAAUGCCCAUACAACCACAACAUUUCCAUGCAAAACCAAACAAUCCCUCUGACAGCAUCAUAAGCACCGCACCAUCCGACCAAUAGAAUUUUCUACCAUCUCAACACUCAACCUCUUCCUACACUCAACCUCCUUCUCAAAAACCGCGGCACCCAUCUUUCUUCCUCUUCAUUUCUGUAUCACAAACCACCACCACACUCCACCUUCAUCUCGUUAGACUAGACGCGAAAGAGUGAGAGGGAGAGAUCAGCUCCAUCCGAGAGUAAAGGGGGGAAAACAGUGAGCUGCAACAUCUUCCAUUUUGCCGCGAGCUAGGAGGAAGAGAGGGAGAGAUACCGUGGGAGUUCCAACCAUUCUGCACUUCCAUUUCCACCAGCUGCACCCAGCUUUCCAACCGCAACAACCACCAGCUCCACCGGCCGCCACAGCCAAGCAAACCAGCACUUCAGGCCGUGCGUGAGAGCCGAGUGGAAGAAAACAAAAAAUUUCAGAUUUCUUGUGUGUAAGCUUAGGUUGCUUCUGAGGUAUGUUUCUGGACUAUUUGGGUUGAUCAGAGGUAGAUUGAACCAUCUAGGGGCAUGCAUGUGUUGUUUGUGCAGUCGGAUGAUGAAAUCAAAGUUUAGAAAAAUCUGUUUUGGAAGUAAAUGUUUCUGCCGAGAAGCUGAGUUGAAGAUGCAGCUUUAUUUUUGCUUCCCUGUGACAAUCUGAGCUUAAUUAUGUGUUUAACCAACCAAAAACAAGAGGAUUAAGCUAGAUAUAGCCUUGCAUGUUGAGUUUAGACAGCCGGAUGAGUACUUUAGGAAAGAAAAAUCUGUUAUGCGUAAGAAUUUGAGACUGCCGAGAGCUUGACUUGAAUAAUGCUGCUUUGGUUGGCCUAAUUUUGUUGUUCUGAGUUUAUAACUAUGACUAUAUCACUAAUAACAGGAUAAUUGAGCUUUGUAUGUAGUUAAUUAGUUGAGUUAGAACAGAAAAUAAAAAUAAAAUGCAUUCAGUCUUCAUGCAGCUGCAACCGAGGCUAGCUGGAAAUUUCUGGAAAGUUUGGAUGACUUUCGUCGUUAAUCGAAUUUAAUUCCUGAGCUAGAUAUGUUAAUUAACUAGUUAAGUGAUGGCAUGUUGAAUUUGAGCCCUUAACACUUUGAUUUUAGCCGAGGAAAAAGUUGAAUUAAGAACAUCUAAUUGCUGGAAAAUUUUGUGAACUGCCGCAAGGUUUGAACCUGGAAAUUUUGAGGUUUAUGACUGUUGUUUGAACUCAAUUCUGAACUGGAAAUGUUAAUUGGUUAGAUGAGUUGAUGCAUGGCAAAUUUGAGAACCUAAAGUCAUGUUUUAGCCAAGGAAAAGCUGGAUUUAUGAACCUCUAAGUGCUGGAAAAGUCUGGAUAGCCGAGAAGUUGAGCAGGAAUUCUUAGUUUGUUUUUGGAAAUUUUAAUUGGCUUCUGGAAUUUUAUUUUAUUUUUCCUUGGAAUGUAAUGGUUUAUAAAUGCAUGAGAGAUGUGUAUUUUAAGCUGUGUAAGUUGCUUAGCGAUGAAAUAUUCAAUAUAUUGGAAGACUGAACCAAGAAUGUUGGAAUAUAAAUGCUGGAAUUUUUCUGUGUGAUAGCCGAAGGUUGAGUUGGAAUUUCAGCUUGGUUUUGAAUUUUUUUUUCUUUGAAACAUAAUGGUUGAAAAUACCUGGAAAAUGUUGUGUUAAAGUUUUAUAAGAUAUACGGAUGUGAAACACUUGAAUUGCUGGAUGCUAAGGGCUAAUGGUUGAUGAAGUCCUUGGCCAUUUGAAUGAGUUUAUAAGUAUUAAAGGGUGAUGAAAUUUAAUUGCUGGAAUUUCUUGGAGGCCUUACCUUCAUUUUGAUUUAGUUAAGAUGUGAUAUGAGCUUGCCAAAACCAAGUGCUAAUGAUUGACGAAGCCUUGGUCAUUCAUUUUAUUCUUGAUCAGAAAUGAAUCUGUUGAAAUCUAGGGCUAAUGAUUGAUGAAACCCUAGUGAGAUUUCUAUUUGAAAUGAUAGUUUGCUAUAUUGACGAAUCUGAAAUAUUACAUGCUUGCAAAUCGGAAUCGUAAGGAAUCCGUUUUGGUCCUGUGAACUUGAGAAGUUUUUUUUAAGCAAGCUAUUUAAAUAUAUCUUCACUCUAGUAUGGUACGAUAAAACUUAGCACUGUAUGUUAAAGUUAGAAAUUUCGUGUAGGGAUUUUCUAAACCUUGCCAACUCGAUAUUUCUUCCUUUAAGCUUAAACUAGCCUUAUUACUUUUAGAAAAUGAUUUCACUAGUUUCUAAAAACCCUAGGCUUUGUUUUACUUCCUUUCUUUUCUCUAAGAAUUGUUCUUGGCUAGUUGACUAUAGGAAAAGUUCCAAAAUACGAGUUUUUAAUAACUUUAAUUAAAAAUGUAGAAACUUGCUAGGCAAGAAACGUUAUUUUAGGUAAAAUAGUUUUAGUGACAAUCUUUGCAAGAACCGUAGCUUUAAAGAAAUUUUUUUUCAAAGUAUCUUUCUAGCUUUGACACUAAGUGGUUUGUCGACUUAUUUCAAGAAAAUAAUACUAGUUACCCUUUUAUAAGGAAAAGUAUCUCAAGGAAAACUAUAAGAAACAUUUUUACUACUUUUGUCAAGUUUCAACCUAAGUAGAUUUUUGAAAUUACUUGAGAAAGUAAACUAGAAAUAUAGUAGAUAAUCCCCUAUAUGAAUAAGCUUAAAAAUUGAAUAGAAAACUUAUAGUUUCAAAAUUUGGUCUUUUAGGAUAUUGCGAGGACGCGGAAUUCGAUUUCCAACUUGACAUCUGAACUUCACUCUUGGUGAGUGUCCCUACUUGUUCUAUGCUUACUUGGUUAAAGUGCUUUCUUGACUCAAUAUGUGAUAAUUUGCAAAACUAGUUUUUGAUCCAUCGAAGUGAGCAGUGUGUACUUUAUCGCACAAGCCGUUCGAGUGGUGACUUGCGUGAAACAUUGUUCUCAUGAAUCCGUGAAUCUAAAUGUAGUUGCGUCGUUGGGUGAAUCUCUCGACUCCUGAAUCCAACUACGGAAAUGUCGCUGGGUGAAUCCCUCGACCAAUUUCCUGAGGGUAUACUCAAGUAUACUGCUCCCAAUUUUCUAAGGGUAUAUCUCGAGUAUACUGCUUCCUUAGUCAGCGUUCGGGCCCGGGACAGGGGUAUGAAUGGUGACGGGUUAGAUAACAAAAUGAGAUACUCUACAUGGAUCAUAAGUAGUGAGAGUUGACGGAGGGUCAACUACGAUGAAUGGUGAUCAAGCGAGGAAAAUGGCUCCUGAGAGCCCCUGUAUCCUACCUUGUGCUGUUAUACGCUUUCCUAACUGUUCAAUUUGGUUAAGUUAUUACUCGCUGUUUGAUUUAUGUGACUGCAUGUUUUGAGGCACCACUGAGUUUUAGCUCACCCCACGUUUAUUUGUUUUCCUUAACAGGUUCUGGAAGUUGAAAGCUUUGAAACUUGCUCAUGUUUUCUUUUUGGAAUGUAUUUGAAUACUAUGACUACUUUUGUGGGCUGUAAUGCGUUAAUUUGGAUAAUGUACUUUUUAUUUUGGAUUGCCACUUGAAGCUGGAAAAUGUGUAAAACUUAAUUUGGAUGCUUGGCUUGAUUGUUGUGUUUUGUUGUAUGAAUUUUUGCUUAGUUGGGACGGUACGAUUCUAUUCCGCAGUUCGUAACACGCAAAAAUGUUUAAGAGCCGCCAUUUGGCUAUUCUAAAUCACUACUAUCUCUGAAGUUAAUGUGGUUUUAGUGACGGCCUUCUUCGGGAGAAUUGUUUUGUAAUAGAUUAGGUUAUUCUUCGAAAGGAUUUGGGUUGAAUGCUUGCGUGAGUCCUGGCGAGAGCUGGGCAGACGGCCCGCCAACCCUUUGGUUCGCCUUAGGGGGAAGUGGGGUCCCCACAGCUAGACCCUUAGGAGCCCCUCGAGCGCUAGAUCAUGUUUGUGUGACCACAUUGCAUUCUCAUGCAUAUUUUUUCACCUUUUAGGGUCUUUUAUCAUUUUUUACAUGACUCUCCUCCUUAUACGUAUAUCCUUUCCCCAUAUUUUCCCGUAUAUAUAUAUUACUUAUCCCUUUGUAUGAAACAUGACAUUAGACUCGCAUUUCAUUUAAGAAAUAGAAACUAGGUUAGAUCAUUUGUGUGCUAGAUUAGGAAAACCCCUUGGAUAUGGGAUAUGGACGAGUUUGGCUUCUUUAGCCUUAGCACGCUCGUAUUCCCUCUAUUAAAGGGAACAUUGGAGUCACGAGCAUUAGUUCCUCGCACCCGACAUGAUGCAUUCCUUUAGGCCACGUAUAUUUGUAUAAUUACUCUUUCUUUUUCUUUCUUUCAAGUCUCAUGACUUGCAUUAUUCGUGACUUCUUCGAAAAGUCUUUAUUGGGCGUCACAACUAAUGUGAUUAGUACCAAGUAAGAUUUGAAGAUACAUUUCGACCCUUCGAUACCCUCCUAGGCCUAGGGUUUGCAUUCAUAUAGAACAUCCAAAUGUGAUAAAUUUUUAGGUUAAAAUAAGAAAAUCUUUGACUAAAUCGUCGCAACUAGUCUUGGCUAGGUUGAAAGGGUGCCUUGGAUUCUUAUCCUUGCCUUCCCUUUCUUCAAAUGUGACUCCCGAAUCUUUUUUUCUAAUUUUCGUAGACUUGGAGUCGUUUAAGAAGGGUUUUUCUACUUUUUUUCUUUAAAAUUCAUUUUUAGGUGACUUGGUACACCUGAACUCUAUACCAAGUGGCGACUCCAUUUUUCAUUCAAAAAACCCUUUUUAAACUACAUUUUGGGUCAAAUCAUCGCAUUUUCAAGUCCCAUUUAGACCCAUGCUUUUCCAUAAUCAAAAAUUCAUUUUCCAAUUAAAAAUCGAAUCAAAAGCCAUUUUUUCUAAACUGGUCUUUAAAUUUAUUUUUCUUAUUUAAAAAAUGGGGCGCGACACAUACAUAAACAAUCUUAACACAAUAGCCCUUCACUAGGCUCAAUGUCAUCUCGUACAAGGCAAUUCUAGCAAUGCAACUAUCAAAAUCAAAGCUGGAAACUAGUAUUAAAGAAGAAUGUCUAAGUAGCAGGUUUGUCAUCUUCCGGCGUUUUGGUCACAACUGAUGUUACGCUUAUCAAAUUGGGGUAAAUUUUAUGGUGUUUUGAAGCUAAGACAGAAACCUACAUUUCUAAUGAAGACAUCAACACCCAGUUCAUGCAUUUUCAAGGUCAAAAUGUGAAAUCUCAGAGAAAAUAGAAAGCUGCCCGCGAAAUAGGCUUUUAGUAGCCAGGGGUAUUUUAGUCAUUUCAUACUCUACAGUGUUUCGAUUGAGUUGAAAUUUUACAAGCAGAUAUUUACCCCUAUUCCCUACAACUUUCAUGUUUUGAACAAGACCUGAUUCAGCCUUUAUCCUGGACGAAUAUACAGUGCAGGAACAGGGCAGAUUCUACUACAAUUGCUGGAAUUUGAUGUUUCAAUGCUUAACACUAACAUUCAUGUCUUGAAUCACUACCCCAAGUCCCUAUCCAAACUCAUCAACAUCAUAUAUUAGAUAAACAACAAUAAUCACAACUGAAAUUUUCAAACCCUAGCUAAACAUUUCACCAUAUCACUCAAAACUAAAUAAUUAACUAUAGAAAACCAAGAACAUAAGCUUAUUUCCCAAUUUUAACAUGACUAAGUACAAGGAAAGGAAAGGAAACCAUUAUACCUUACAAAGCUGUUUGUAGGUGAAAAACUAACCCCUUUCUUCCAAAAAUUUUACCACACAAAGCUUGCCAAAUACCACAAGAUAAGUUUAAUUGGUUUAGAUUUUGAGAUUUCACUCAAACAAGAUGGAUUCAAGGUGAAAGUUGAACUUUUCUCUCUUGUGUUUUUUUCUCUCCUCAAGACAACCAACAAGUCAUAAAUGGAGAAGAAAUGAAGCUAAAAGAAUGAUAAGAAGAUAGGAAUUUGUUUGGUCAAAGUUGGAUGGAUGGUUGCCAAGUGUCACCGCGAGAUUAAAGCUCAAAUUUUUCUUCUUUUCCUCUUUAUUUUGCUCAAGAUUUUUGGCUGGUUUGGAGGAUAUUUUUGGGCUAAUUUUGCUGAAAUAAAGUAAGGAGAUUAAGGUAAUAAAGUAGUGUUCAAGUGAUGUAUUCAAUCGAUAGCAAACGGUGCACGUCGGUUCAAGCCGAUUUUCCUUAACUUACCCGUACUAGUGUUUUAACUUAUGAUUCACUAACUUAUUAUUAGCAGUUCUAAUCACACACUUUCUCAUAUCUAAAACUCACUCUUAACCACCAAUUUAGUAAACACACAUCCACAAUUAAUCACACUAUCGAAAUAUGAAGAAAAAACCUAAUUUAUGCUAACUAUAAAACUAAAGAUGUAACUCUUGAUUCUAUGAUUUAUUACAACUAUGGAGGAAGUGAAUGAGUAGUAAAGUUAUUAUAAAGUAAUUUAUUCAAAAUACAAGGGCAUUUUAAGAAAAUAAGAAGAAUUUUGAGAGUCCUCACACCCUCUUUGGCUAUUUCAAUCAAGACACAAAACAACAACUAACAAAAAAAACUACCUUAUGAUCUCGGCUCUCUCUCAAUUUGCAAGUCACACGAAGAAAAGAAAGAAAAGAGAAGGUGGAAGAGGUGGAUACUAUCACCGAGUCCGAACCAUCAUCACCACCAUCUAUUUGUUUGCCUUUUUGUACUAUGAAAACAAGGUGAUGUUCUUUGUCUCAUUGUCAUACCCAAACAUUUUUUUAUCCCUACUCUUCAUUAUUUUUUAUUCUUGUUCUCUUUCUUUUAUGCUUGUGGUUGUAAAUGGAAUGUUUCACAUGAGUUGCUAUGGAUUGUUAUAGUGAUUUGUUGAUGAAAAUGUGGGAUCUAAGUCUGCUUAAGUUCCAUGGAUUGUAUAGGGCAAAAUCAUGCACGUUAAGUGUGUGGAAAAAUGUUUAAAUGGAAAAACUGAAUUAAGGUGCUAAAUGUUGUGCAUAUACUUUUGUUAAGAUAGAUGGUCAUAGAUAGUACGUGGUCUGAAAGAUGUUUGGUUAUUCAAAUUUUUUGAAAUUUUAAGCCUUAAAAGCAUUGAAAUAUUUUUCUUCAUUUUGGGCUUUUUUGCUUUAAUGUAUCACUUUGUUGUUGUUUUUUUUUUGCCAAACUAAAGUCAUAAUUGCACUUUAAAAUUCACAAGGGUUGUUUUGGUGUAAAUUUUAUGAAUUUUAGUGAGGAUUUGAGCGAUUUUUUUAAAAGAUAAAACCCGGCUAUAAAUUAGAUUUUUUUUUAACCCUUCUUUGUGCAUUUUUUUGCCAAAACUAAGGCCGGAGACGGAUUUUACGUGAAAAAUUGAGUGAAUAGGCGUAUUUUGGUGAGUUUUUAUGACCAAAAAUAUCGCUAGCAAUUCGGCGACUAGAGCUUCAAUCAGAGGGAAAAAGAAGAAGAGGAGGGAAGAAGAAGAAGAGAAAUAAAAGAGAAAAAUAAAAAUAAAGGGUUGGAAUUUUAUUUAUUUGUAGUUGGGUUUAAGAGUGGGCUGGUAUUAUUUUUUGCUUUGGGUUUCGUCUGGACUUUAGGGUUAGGCCCAACAUUUUCAUAAAAUCUAAAUUUGUUUAAAUUUUGAUUGGAUUUGCUUGUUUUUUUAAUGGAUUAGCCCGCAUUUUUCUACUGAGUUAGUGUAUUUCGGCCAAAGCAAAAAAAAAAAAAAAAAGAAAAGAUGGCCCAACUUUUGCUUCAUCAUAUUUUGUCUAAAUCAGAAUCAAAAUUUGUAAUUUGUAAAUUUGACCCUCAAUCUUUUGAGUAAUUUUAUUGUAUCCCUAAAAUUUUAGAUUUCUUUCAGUUAGACCCUUAAUUUAAUUGUAUUUGGCCCCUAAACUUUGUCUUUAUUUAAUUUUAACCCCUAAUUUUUUAUAAAAUUAUAUUUUGAUUCCAAAAACUUUUUUAUUUUUGCAAUUUAGCCUCUAAUAGUGUUUUGAUUUUUCAAUUAUAAUUGUUCCCUUCCUUUAAUUGUUAAUUAUAAUUCUUUUGCAUGCAUUUAAAUUAUAUAUUUUAAGUGUUUUGAGUUUAUUUACAUUUUUUAACAUGAUAAUGUGAGUCUAGCACAUUUUUAUAUUAUUAUAUUUCCAAUUAAAUUGGUGCCAUGAUGUUUAUCUUUGUUCGUACCUUUUGAUGAUUACAAAACAAGUGGAUAAAACUAAUGUUUUUCAAGUUUGUUUUUGGGCAGGAAAUGGAGCAAAACAGGUUCAAAGGCCAAGCAUCUGCUAAAACAUCUGUCGGACACACAAAUACAUCCUAUCGGUCGUCCGAUAACCGUUGAGUAUCUUCAGACGCGCAAAGAACCUAUCCUCGGACGUCCGAUGCUGAUAAGUCAGCACCUCUAAGAUCUCUAAUCUUGAUCGGACGCACAAUACCUGAGCACCAGACGUCCGACAACCGUUGCAACACUUCGGACGACAAGCAUUAGAAGCACCGGACGUCCGAAAGAAUUAAUGAAGGAUUCCAAGUUUUACAUCACAUGAUCGGACGCAUAUUUUGAUGCUGCCGGACGUCCUAAAGAUUUCAAGAAAAUUUCUUGAACUCAUUGCCUGCGUUCAGACGCACAAAACCAGCCUACCGGACGUCCGACACUACUAACUGUUAGUUGACUCUUCAGCUGCCUUGUGUCCGUUAGUGGCAUUAAUUGAAGAUGUUUUUUGUCUAUUAUAAAUAAGAUAAAAGUCAACCACCAAGAGUACGGAUACACAUUAAGUCUACAUCAGAUCUUGAGUGAUUCAAGCAUAAGAAUACUCCAAAAAGAAGAUUUGUACUCUUAGUUGUGUGAUCUUCAUUUAGCUUUUCAAGUGUGAUUCAAUUUCUUCAAUAGUGUAGCUUUGUGAGGGUUAUUCGAGUGUUUGUAAAACUUCAUUGCUUGAUCAAGUGUAUCUUGAGGCAAGGAGGAAGUGAUCCUUCCCGUGUAUACAAGAGAUUGGUUGUAUGUUGAAUCAACUUGAAGGAGCUUACAAUAUAAAGGGAUAUUCAAACUCUAGUCGAGUUUGAGAUUUGGUUUGCUAUUCCAUCUUCUUAUUCUCUGUUUUGCAACAUUAACUAUUUAUCUCUUCUGCUCUAAAUUACCUCCGCUUUAUCAUAAUUUGUUCAUUGGUCUGGUAUUUUAGUAAAAGAGGGCUAGUUCAGAAAAAAGGUGAUUUAUAUUUUGGCUAGCUUUUAACCCCUCUUAGGUUGUUUUCGAUCCUUACAAUUGGUAUCAGAGCUUGGUCUCCUUGAGAUUAAACUCAAUCGGUUUAGGAGUAAAUAUGACAACCAACAAUGCCAUGUUCUUUGAGGGACAAUCAGCAACUAGACCCCUAUGUUCAAUGGUUCAAACUAUGUGAGUUAGAAGGAAAGGAUGAUUAUUUUCUUACAAUCUAUUGAUAUUGAGCUAUGGUUUAUAGUCAAUGAAGGUCCGUUUGAUGCCUCUACUAUUGAUGCAGAGACAAACAGGCCGAGACCAAAAAUAAGAAGGGAACUAACUGCUGAAGAUAGAACUCAUCUCACUCUAAAUGCCAAGGCGAUGAAUGUACUGUACAGUGCUUUAGACUCAAACGAAUCUGUUAGAGUCAAGGGCUGCAAAUCUGCAAAAGAAAUCUGGGAUAAAUUUCGAGAAAUACACGAAGAAAGUGAAAAUGUGAGAGAACAGAAGAAGUCCAUUCUGGUCACGAAGUAUGAAUCCUUUAAGAUGGAACCUCACGAAAAUAUCGACAAGAUGUAUUGCAAAUUCAAUGAUCUUAUUAAGGAUCUAGAAGUUCUUGAGAAAGAUUACUCUUUAGGUGAGAAAAAUAGAAAAAUUCUGAAUGCUCUAUCAAAAGAUUGGGAGAGCAAAGUGACUGCCAUUGAGGAAGCCAAAAAUCUGAACACUUUAUCUAUUGAAUCCCUUAUAAAUUCACUAAUCUCUUAUAAGCUAAAACUUAAGUCUAAAGUGCAUGAAGAAGAAGACACAAGAGUUAGAAAGAGCAUUGCUCUGAAGACUUCACAAGAAGAAGAUGAUACAAUCUCUCUGGAUGGAGAUGAUAUGGAAGGUGAUGAUAGUGACAUUGCACUCAUCACAAGAGGGUUCAAAAGGAUACUCAACAAGAGAAGAUUCAGAAAAGGAGGAUAUAGUAAUUCCUUUCCAAAUCAGUCCAACAACUUCAGAAAUAAAGGAAAGCUGGAAUUCAACAAAAAGCAAACUGAUAAGUGCUUUGAAUGCGGCCAACCUGGUCACUAUGCAAAUGAAUGUCCAAUGAAGAAAAAGAAGAAGAACAAAAGUGAACGAAAACCAAAAUUCAACAAUUUCCAGAUCACCUGGAAUGACUGCAAUUCAGAAGGAGAAGUAGAGGAAGAAGAGGAAUCUGCCCAAAUGGCUUUCAUGGCCAUUGGAGAUGAAGAGGUGAACCUGGUGAAUACUGUUAAAGAAUCAAAAUGGCUCAUAGAUAGUGGAUGUUCAAGACAUAUAACUGGUAAUGCAUCACAGUUCAUCAAGCUCAAGCCAAAAACAAGUGGAAAGGUUACUUUUGGAGAUGAUAAUAAAGCCAAAACUAUUGGCAUUGGUGAUGUUGGUAAGAAUGACCAGACUUUUGUUCAUAAUGUUCUUUUAGUCGACAACCUGAGUUACAAUUUGCCGAGUGUUAGUCAAUUAUGUGAUAGGAACCUACUCGUGUUAUUUAAGAAACAUGAAUGCCUUGUUCUUGACUCAAAGUUUAACAUUAUUUUCAAAGGAAAAAGAGUUAAUGACAUUUAUGUGGUGAUUCUUGAAAAAGUUGAUGCUUCCAGCCUUAGUUGUCUCAAAGUAUCAAAUGAGGAUCUCUGGUUGUGGCACAGAAGGUUUUGUCACUUCAAUAUGGAUUUGCUAAAAGAGGUUUUCGAAAAGGACCUGGUUAGAGGGUUUCCAAAACUCAAUUUUUGUAAAGAUCGCAUUUGUGAUGUUUGCCAAUUUGAAAACAAGUCAAGGUAUCUUUUAAACAAAAAAAAAUGUGUUUAUACCUCAAAACCCUUAGAACUCCUACAUUUUGAUCUUUUUGGUCCAACUCAAACCACAAGUUUUGGUGGCAAGAGAUUAUGUUUUGUUGUUGUUGAUGACUAUUCUAAAUACACUUGUGUGAUGUUUCUUGCACAUAAAGAUGAUGCCUUCAAAAACUUUGUUUCCAUGUUUGCCAAGGUUCAAAAUCUGAUUGGUUUGAAAAUCAUAAAAAUAAGAAGUGACAAUGGCACAGAAUUUCGUUUUUGUGGAUUUCCAGAAUUCUGUGACAACAAUGGCAUUACACAUGAGUUUUCUAUUGUUAGAGUACCUCAGCAAAAUGGAGUGGUUGAGAGGAAAAUAGAACUCUUCAAGAAGCUGAUAGAACCAUGCGUAGUGAAUGCAAUUUACCAAAGUACUUUUGAGCUUAAACUAUAAACACUGCAUGCUAUACCAUAAACAGAGUUCUCUUAAGACCAAUCUUGAACAAGACUUCAUAUGAGCUGUUGUUUGAUAAAAAACCUGUAGUUGGUUAUUUUAAAGUUUUUGGCUGCAAACGCUUCAUUCUGAACAUCAAGAAACAUCUUGGUAAGUUUGAUAACAAAUCUGAUGAGGGGAUCUUCUUGGAAUAUUGUGAAAAUAAGAGAGACUUUAGAGUUUAUAAUCGUAGAACUCUGGUUAUAGAAGAAGCCAUACAUAUCACUUUUGAUGAAUCUAAUAGUGAUACUUCCAUGAGUUGUGGUGAAGAUGAUGAUGGAAGUGUCCGAGAAGAAUUAAAGAAGCUAACAAUCAGCAAUCAAGGCACAGCUCCAUCAGAAAAUAAUUCAAAGGAAGAUGAAAAUCAAGACAGUCCUGCUAGAGAAGACAAUGACAGUGACACUGUGAUUCCUAAUGAUCUUCCAAGAGCCUGGAAAUUCGUCCAAAAUCAUCCUAAGAAACUUAUCAUUGGUGAUCCAUCUGAAAAGAUCAGAACACGUUCCUCCGCUAGACAAUUAAUUGAUAACUUUGCAUUGGUCUCACAUUUUGAGCCCAAAAAUGUUGUUGAUGCAUUGAAUGAUGAGAGCUGGAUUUUGGCCAUGGGAAAGGAGUUAAAUCAAUUUGAAAGAAAUAAGGUUUGGACAGUAGUUGCUACACCACAAAAUCAUCCUAUUAUUGGCACUAAAUCGGUUUUUAAAAACAAAAUGAAUGACAACGGUGAGGUAGUUAGAAACAAGGCCAGAUUGGUAGCUAAGGGUUACACUCAAGAAGAAGGAAUAGAUUUUGAUGAAUCAUUUGCACCUGUAGCUAGGUUAGAAUCUAUUAGAAUGUUUUUAGCUUUUGCAUGUUUCAAAAAUUUUAAAUUAUUUCAAAUAGAUGUUAGUGCUUUCCUAAAUGGUUUUAUAGAUCAAGAAGUUUAUGUUGAUUAGCCCUCUGGUUUUGAAAAUGAGAAUUAUCCAAACCAUAUUUUUAAACUCUCAAAAGCUUCAUAUGGAUUAAAACAAGUUCCGAGAGCGUGGUAUGAACACUUGAGUGGUUUUUUAAUUGAAAAUGGGUUCAAAAGGGGCAUAGUGGAUACCACUCUUUUCACUAAACAGAGUUCACGUGAUCUUCUAAUUGUUCAAAUAUAUGUGGAUGAUAUUAUUUUUGGUGCUACUAAUGAGAACUUGUGCAAGGAAUUUUCCAAAGUUAUGCAAAAAGUGUUUGAAAUGAGCAUGAUGGGAGAAUUAAAUUUCUUCCUUGGACUCUAAGUGGUUCAAACCAGAGAAGGAACGUUUAUCAAUCAAACAAAAUACACAAAAGAGCUGCUCAAAAGAUUUGGAAUGGAGGACUCAAAGCAGGUUGGAACACCUAUGUGCACAUCUACCAAGCUCGACAAAGAUGAAAAAGGUACAAAAGUUGAUGAAAAGAAGUACAGAGGUAUGAUUGGUAGUUUGCUUUACUUAACUGCUAGUAGACCAGAUAUCAUGUUUGCUGUAUGCUUGUAUGCUCAUUUUCAGUCCUGUCCAAAAGAAUCACAUUUGAAUGCAGUAAAAAGAAUUCUUAGAUAUCUAAAAGGAACCUUGAAUUUUAGUCUUUGGUAUCCUAAGUGUAAUGAACUCCCAUUAAGUGGAUUCUCUGAUGUUGAUUUCGGUGGUUGUAGAGUUAAUAGAAAAAGUACGUCAGGAAUAUGUAACUUUCUUGAAAAUUGCUUAGUAUCUUGGUUCAGCAAGAAACAAAAUGCUAUCUCUCUUUCUACAACUGAAGCAGAAUAUAUUGCUGCUGGUGCUUGUUGUGCUCAACUGUUAUGGAUGGAAAACACAUUGAAUGAUUUCAGACUAAUAUAUGAAUGCGUGCCUAUGUAUUGUGAUAAUACUAGUGCCAUAAAUUUGACAAAAAAUCCCAUUCAGCACUCUAGAAUAAAGCACAUAGACAUAAAGCAUCACUUCAUUCGUGAUCUUGUCCAAAAGAGAGAAAUUUGCGUUCAGUAUGUGUGUUCGAAAAAUCAAAUUGCUGAUAUUUUCACAAAAUCCCUUCCAUUGGACCAGUUUGUGUAUCUUAGAACAAAACUGGGCGUCUGUGAAAAAGUUCUUUAAAAACUUCCAUCAUACGUCCGAUGUGUUAGAACGGAUGUCCGACAGUGUUCUUCAUCAGUUUCCUCAGGAAUUUUUUGUUCAGACGAUUGUAUCGACGCUUCACUUCAUUCGGCCGUCCGACACUCAAUUUACUGCAUCUUAUAAAGAAGCUAUCCACUUCAUUCAGUUCAGUUACCUCCUUAGACUCGGACGCAACCCUUCGGUUCUCCCUCAAAUUCAAAAUUCAAAUUGGUCUCUCCCGUAUUCAAGUUCCAAGGAAUUGACCCAACCAACCUCAUUACACCUCUGUUGACCAUUUUACUCCACUCAUAACACCCCAUAACUCCCAACUGCCUCAUAAUUCUCAAUUCAUACUAGAAACCCUAACUCUUCCAAAUCCACUACCUAUAAUCAUCUCAAGCAUCCUCUGCAGUUCUUAACGCACUAGUAGUCAAUUUGACACGCAUCUGCACUACACUGCAUCUUAAAAAUCAACUGCAUUGCAUCAUGGUGAGAGUUAGAAGCGGUCAGCAAGUGCCGGACGCACAUUUAGACUCAGGGAUGAAGAUGUUGAGACCGUAGAACCUUCCACCAGGGUAUCCAAAAAGAGGAUAGGUACUCGUGGUGGAAAGGCAAAGCAACCUGCAAAGAAGAUACAGGAUGCUCCAAUUGCUGAUCCAUCUACUGUGCGAGUGGAAGUACAUCAAACUGAGGAACAAAUUGCUGCGGAACAGCAAACACCUGAACCCCCUAACAGAAAAUCACCUAGGACAAGGUCUGGUGCUCAGACUACCGGGUCAUCUGCCAAACAAAGUGCAAAAAGGAAACGCACUUCAAAGGAACCAGAGGCUCAGCCUGUCAAAGAACCUACACCCCUGCCAAAGUUCAUUGAUGAUGAGGUCAGAGAUAGAUUUGAGUUAAUUUCUCAAAAAGGAUUCAUCAUUCAGAGGUCUGUCAUCCCAUAUGAAUUUCGUAAGAUUGAUUUAGAACCUGUGCUUAAACGUUUUGAGUUCCAAAAAUGGACUCACCUCCUGACUAUCCCGAACACCUUCUACCCUGACAUGCUUUACCAGUUUUUUACAAAUCUUAGGAAAGGAAACUCACACACCGAACUUAUCUCUAGAGUCAAUUCUGUUGAUAUCACUUUAACUCCUGAUGUCAUUAACUCUGUUUUGAAAACUAAGAUUGAAGAUGGCUUCAGAGGAAAAAUUGCAAAUUUCUUUUCAUAUGAAGAAUUCUCGUCUACCUACCAUCAUUUUCACAUCUCCAAGUUAAUGACUUACUUUCGCACUCACUUUAACACUCCUGCUGAGGCGAGACUAGAGGAUCUCAGUUCUUAGAACUUGAUUAUCUUUACCAUUGUUUCUAAUCUGCUGGUACCCACUGAUGGUCACAGAACCGAUGCAAACAAAAUGGAAUUGUAUCUAUUUUACUGUUUUGUUGAAAAAAUCAGAAUCGAUUUUGGUUUUGUGAUAUGCAAAUUCCUGCUUAAGAUUAGUACCGAUAGUCGUAGGAAGCUUACCUAUGGAAAAUUCCUAACUCCUAUCUUUGCUCACCUUGAAAUUCCUUUCAUUGGAAAGUCUCCUAGAGAUAGUGCCUCAACUGUUUUCUCAAAGGCUUAUUUUGAAUGAAAAAAUUUGAAGUUUUUGGAGGGUCACUGGUGUCACAAGGAACCUCUGUCAGAGUUCAGAAGAAAGAGCUUUCACGAAACUCCAGUCACCCCUAGGACCCCUCGGGAUCAAUCCAUGUAUGUCUCUCCUUUCACCAUUCACCCUAGAAAAUCAGCCAACAAGUCCUUUGUAUACAACUCUGAGGUUAUCACGUUGCUUGAAGACCUCAAGCAACACGUUAUGCUCAUUGACGAUGGUCUAAUGUCGACCAUGACACCUGACCAGCAGGCUUCCUUCAUUGAGAAACGAAAUCUUCUUGUGCCUCCUACUUCUAUGAACAAUGAACAUGCUCAUCAAAAAGAACCCAGAACUAAGCCUACUGAACACACUCCUGGUACUGAAGCUACUCCAGAAGCUCAUGCCUCCAGUUCUCAGCCCAAGAAUAAAGGAAAAGCUCCCAUCUCUGAAGAGGCGACUGAAAAUGAUGCUGAAGAUACUGAAGAGGAAGAUCAUGUGGAUCCUGAGCAAUUUCGUUUGACUAGAAGAAGGUCUGGACCAUCCAAGAUCACCAUAUAGGCACUAAUAGGCCACUGCACUUCAUGAGUAGUUCUCAAUAAUUUUCUUUUGCAUAUUUUGCUCUUAAAAGACAUCUGGUGUGUUUGUUAAGUUUAAGGAGUUUACUACUCCUCUACUGGUCUGUAAAAUAUUUAGCUAUCCGUUGUUGGAAGAUGUUUCUAUAUUAUGGCUAUGUCUCUCUUGUCUUAAAUGGAUGUUUUAUAUCCGUUGUUAGCUAUCUCUCUUGUCUGUUUAUGUCAGUUCUUGUUGAUUGCUGUCAUUUGUUGUUGCUUUAAUUUCAGUUCUAAUUGAUUUCGGUUCUGUUAUGAUGACAAAAAGGGGAAGAAACAUGGAUGGAAUCAAAAUAUGAAUCGGAUCUAUAUGUGAGGGGGAGUCAAGAAUCUGAUCUAUAUGUGAGGGAGUCAAGUAAAUUCUUUUUCUGUGGGGUGUGGAAAAUUUUCUGAGGGGGAGUCACUAAAGGGAUGUGGAUAUCAUUCUGAGGGGAAGUUGUAAAUACUCCAAGGCCUCUCUAAGAAAAGAGAAACUAUACCAAAAUUCCAUCACUGCAUCCAUUGUUUUGUCAUCAUCAAAAAGGGGAGAUUGUUUAUCUUUGUUCGUACCUUUUGAUGAUUACAAAACAAGUGGAUAAAACUAAAUAUUUUCCAAGUUUGUUUUUGGGCUGGAAAUGGAGCAAAACAGGUUCAAAGGCCAAGCAUCUACUAAAACAUCUGUCGGACGCACAAAUAUAUCCUAUCGGUCGUCCGAUAACCGUUGAGUAUCUUCAGACGCGCAAAGAACCUAUCCUCGGACAUCCAAAGCUGAUAAGUCAGCACCUCUAAGAUCUCUAAUCUCGAUCGGACCCACAAUACCUAAGCACCGGACGUCCGACAACCGUUGCAACACUUCGGACGACAAGCAUUAGAAGCACCGGACGUUCGAAAGAAUUAAUGAAGGAUUCCAAGUUUUACAUCACAUGAUCGGACGCAUAUUCUGAUGCUGCCGGACGUCCUAAAGAUUUCAAGAAAAUUUCUUGAACUCACUGCCUGCGUUCGGAUGCACAAAACCAGCCUACCGGAUGUCCGACACUACUAACGGCUAGUUGACUCUUUAGCUGCCUUAUGUUCGUUAGUGGCAUUAAUUGAAAAUGUUUUUGAUCUAUUAUAAAUAGGAUAAAAGUCAACCACCAAGAGCACGGAUACGCAUUAAAUCUACAUCAGAUCUUGAGUGAUUCAAGCAUAAGAAUAUUCCAAAAAGAAGAUUUGUACUCUUAGUUGUGUGAUAUUCAUUUAACUUUUCAAGUGUGAUUCAAUUUCUUCAAUAGUGUAGCUUUGUGUGGGUUAUUUGAGUGUUUGUAAAACUUCCUUACUUGAUCAAGUGUAUCUUGAGGCAAGGAGGAAGUGAUCAUUUUAUUGAUUUUGAUUAUAGAUUGGGUAACUUUACUUCAUUUAGUCACCGCUUCAAAAGGGAGUACCCCUAUUAUCCUUUAAAUUUGGAUUAUGUGUUCUUACAUACUCCUAUGUGCUUCUAUAUAUUUAUAUGUUUUUACAUACUUUGUUAUUAUUUAAUUUAAAUAUUUUUUUCAAAUUUUUAAUGUUUGUUUAGUUAAUUUAUAAUUAUUCGGAAGGUAUUUAAGUAUCUCAAAAUGUAAUAGAUAGGUAAUAUGUUGCAAAUUAUAAUUAGAUGAACUAAUGUAAUAGAAAGGAUAGAUAGACCAAUUUUAUUAUAUUUCCCCAUUUUAGAUUGUAUUUGGAUCCCUAAAUGUAAUGGAUAGGAUAGAUAGAUUUAUUUCAUUAUAUUUCUCUCCACUUUAGGUUGUAGUUAGACUUCUUGCUGUAAUAGAUAGGUUUUGUGUGUUUAUGUGGCCUAUGUGUUUAUAUGUUUUGUUCAUUUUUUUAAAAUUUUUACAUUUAGAUAUUAUACUUAUGUAUAUGCUAUGUGCUCUUACAUAUUUACUUGUUAUAACUCAUGCUUUAUUUUUUUUUAGGGUUAAAUAUCAAAAACCCCCCUAUGGUUUGCCUAAUGUUCACUUUACCUCCCUAUGGUUUGGAAAUUUACAAUUUGACUCCCUGUCGUUUCAACUAAAGUGUAUUUAACGGAAUUUCUGUUAGAUUUUCACUUUAGGUGAAACGACAGGGAGUUAAAUUGUAUAUUUUCAAACCAUAGGGAGGUAAAGUGUACAUUUGACAAACCACAGGGGGUUUUUGGUACUUAACGCAAAACCCUUAUAGAGGGGCAGUUUUGACAUUUUCCUUUCAGACGUUAGUUUAGAUGUUUUCCGUUAGACUUUUACUUUAAUUGAAACGACAGGGAGUCAAAUUGUAGGUUUCCAAACCAUAGGGAGGUAAAGUGAACAUUAGGCAAAUCACAUGGGGGUUUUUCGUAUUUAACCCUUUUUUUUUAUUGUGCAUAAUAAAUGCAUGACGUCACCACACUAGUCUGACACUAGUUGUGGUUUCUCCUUCCACUUCCUUACUAGUCCAAUACUAGUGAGAAUUUCUAAAAGUGGGGUAGUCCAAUGCUAAACUCUUAUGUCCUCUAUGCGUUGGAUUUAUCUUUUGUAUGUCAUUCAUUGCAUUUUCAUGCAUUUUUCCUAUUUUAAGUCAUUUCUCUCAUUUGUAUAAUAUUUCCUCUUACAUUAUUCCCGUACUCUCUAUAUGUGUAAAUCAUAUUAUUUAGAAUUGCAUCUCAUUUAGAAAAUUAGAAAAUAAGUUAGUUCAUUUGUUUAUCUAGACUAGAGAGUCGCUUUUUGAAUAUGAAAAAUGGACAAUUAUAGCUUUUAGUUUAAAAUACUCCAUUAAUCCCUUAAUAAGAAAAUUGUGUCACGAGAUUUUGUUUUCCAUACUCAUUAUGUUGCAUUUCCUUUUUUUUUUGUCACUUAUACCUAUAUGUGUAAUUUUUUUUCGAACUUCAUCUUUGCAUGCUCGUCACCAUGUAGGAAAUAUCCAAACGUAAUAUUUAAUGUCUUAUUUAAAUUUAAGUUUGCAUCCAUAUAGGAAACAUCCAAAUGUGAUAAAUUUAAAGGUUAGAUUAGAAAAUUUUUGACUAAAUCUCGCAAUUAGUUUAGACUAUAUUGAAAGGGUACCUUAGAUUUGAGCCAAUUGACCCCUUGCCUUCAUUUUCUUCAACCGUGACUCUUGAACUUAUUUUCUCUUAUUUUCGAAAAUCUGGAGUUGUCGACAAGAGUUUUAUUUUAUUUUUUGUUUUUGUUAAAAAUAUUUUUGGGUGACUUGGUACACCUAAACUCAAUACCAAGUGGCGACUCCUAUUUUCUUAAAAACCCUUUUUAGACUGAAUUUUGGAUCCCAAUUGUUGCAAUUUUAAAGCCCCAUUUUAGACUUUUUUUACUUAUUUUAUUUUGUAAAAAUAAAAAACACAUUUUUUGUAUAUACCUUUUUUUGCGAAAAAUGGGGCGCGAAAGUUUGGUGACUUCAUUGAGAAUCCUAGUGAAUCCGAACACUUGAUUUAGUUAUCUUUUCUCUUUCUGACCCUUUUGCUUAUCGUAUUUGGAUGUCUUAAGUUGCAUUUUUUCUUUUCAGAACUUUUUACAUUUUACACUGGUACUCAUUCCUCGUUUUUUGUGUAUAUGAUGAAUGGUUUGUCUAUUUACUUUUAUUUAUUUAUUUGUAUUUACUUACUGGUAUUGCGCUUUACAUUUGGGAGUGGGAAGCUAUAUUAUCCUAGAACCUUCAUGCAUAUUUAAUGAUAUUUAAUUCCUCCUCUCAAUGGAGCACAUCAUAUGUGCAUACACUAUUUCUUUUAAACCUUUCAUUUUUUUUCCUUUUAGUGAUUGUCAUACCACUCUUCUCUAUUAAGAUUAGGAUUGAUCCACUUAGACAUGUGGGCGUGGCACGAUGUGUAUGUAACAAUGUCUGAGGGAUCACUCGAACCAUCAACCAAAAAUUUUGGGAUUUGUGAGGACCCGAAAAAUUUCUUAUUUUUGUCGAAUAUUAUUGGUUUAUUUAAAUAUUUAUUCACUUGUUUUCUCCAAAUAAUUUAUUUCAACCAUUUUAACUCCAUUCAUAUGGAACAAUGUCUUCCUUAUGUUUUUAAAAUGUCCGGUUAGCAAAUUUAAUUUUCGGAGGUUCGUUUAAGUGAGAAAUAAUGAGUACAUGUGUUUCGAGGUGAUAUUCUAUUUGAGAGUGUAAUUAUCUUGAAAAAAUUAAGAAUGAUUAAUAGUAGAUUAAGAAAAACUAAUUGAGGAAUUAAAGGUGAAUGAGUUCUAAUUAAAUGCAUACUGCUCACGCGUCGAUAGUUUUCCAAAAGACGAUAUAAAUUUAUUGGAGAUUUGAGAAAGUAAUACUAGACUCAUGUGAGGACCCGCAAAUUUACUUAUUUUAAAUUCCUAUUACUAGUUUAUUUAAAUAUUUAAUUGGCCGUUUGCUCCGAAUAUUUUAUUCCAACCUUUUUAGACCCAAUUACAUGGAACUAUGGCUUACAUGUAUUUUUAAAAUGACUCGUUACAAAAAUUAAUUUUUGGGAAGCUCGUUUAGUGAGAAUAGUGAAUUCGCAUUUGGGGGUAAUAAUCGAAUCGAGGAUACAAUAAGGUUGGAAAAUUAGAGACUUGUAUAUUAGUCUUGAAAUAGGUAUUUUUAUGUUAAAUGUUCAAUUAUUAGUUAGUGAUACUAUCGUUAUAAAAAUUUCUUUAAAAUUCCACUUUAUUGCAUACAAUUCGGAAAUACGCGUUUUCGCGUGCGCGAUUAAUUGAGGGACUUUAGACCCUUAUUUUUAGACCAUUAAGAGUGAAUAAUAAUAGUAUAAAUGGAAGUGCAUUAGAGGUUUAGUGCACAAGUGAAACAAACCCGAGAGGAAUCAAGCACGAAACGCGCGAAAACGCGCACUAUUCCUAGUUGACUUUUGGGACACUUUUGGCCAUACAUUUUAGCUUCUCAAGGAAGCUUCAUUUUUCACCAAACACUCUCUCUCUCUUGCUCUAAGCUGGCCGGCCAACUCCAAGGGAGAAACAAGACCAAAAGUUCUCCAUUUUCUUGCUCAUUUCUUGUCCAAAUCAUCUCAAAAAUUCACACAUAACUUGCAAAUCACUUGGUGAUCAAGUUAAACUAGGAAAGGGGAUUCAUUUGCAUGGUUUUCUUGAGCUUCAUUGGAUCGAAAUUUUCUGCCUUGCUCAUCCAAAGAGGUAAUGAACGAUCAACCUCUUGAUUCUUGAUUAAUGGAAGUUAUAUUACACUUGUGAUCUCAUAAAUUCACAUGGGUAGCUUUAGAUGGUUGGAAAUUUGGUGUGUGGGGUCUAUGAAAUCCCACUAUGGCCUGAUGAACUGAUUUGAUGAGUUUUGAUGUUAUUAAUGUUGGAUUAGUGCUUAAUUUAGUAGAAAUAAGUGAUAUUGUGGGUGGAAACUCAAAGGAAGUGAAGAGGGGAAUUUUUUCGUUUCUGCCCUUGUCAAUGCCGUGACCCUUAGAGCAUUUUUUUGAGGUUCAAUUGACUUGUUUAUGAUGUGUAUAUGUUGUGUGGGUUGUGUGGAAGGUUUCCACAAAAACAAAAAUUACAUGAUUUGGUUGGCCAAAUGUUGUGAUUCGAAAGUUCAUCAAAACUGGAAUUUUUUCCGUAUUGCUCUGGUAGUGUUUUUCAACCAACUAUAACAUUUUGCUUCGACAUCAAAAUCAAGUGCCGUUUGUGGCACUAAAAACUAGACAUUCUCAGUUUUCCAACGGUAUAAAAUGUAUACCAGGAGCUCAUAUUCGAGCUCCCAGUUUCAUUAGCCGAAUAUUUAGAAAAGGAAAAUUUACAUACCAGGCAGAUUUGCCUUGGAAACUUGUGGGACUUUAAUGAUUUUGUUAACCGACUUUACGUACGUAUUUUUCUAUGAAAGUUUACAUAGGAAUAGCCCUUAUAUGGUAGUGUAAUACUGCCAAGUUUGGUGUCAUUCCGAAUCCAUUUCGAUAUUCAAUCAAAGCCCCAAAAUUCGUGAUUUAAAUCUAGAAUUUGCUUAAUAAUUUCACUUUUGCAGCAAUUUUGAGUUACCAUAUCUUGGUGCUCAAAACUCCAAUUCUUGUUUUACUUAUUUUGUUUUAAACUUUGAUUGCAACUCUAAUUGAGUUUCAAAUCUGAGAAGCUAGUUCGCAUUGUGUGAAUUAUGGCGAAUUUUCAAAGUUGGCCAAAAACCAACCCCGAAAUUGUCUUAGCAUUCCAAAACAGCCACUUUGAACCGAAUUUUGAAUGUUUUCCAUUUGGAAUCAUGAAAAGGUGUCUUCUAAGAACUUUUAGUACUUUGUAAGUAGUUUCUAAUGGUACCAAAUUUUCAAAUUUUGGACUUAUAAAGAGUGAGUUAUGAUUUUUUCAAGAAUGCCUCUAAAUUCGAUAAUUCCUAACCUUUUGAAAAAUUUUCACGCGGGAACCAUUUUCAUAGAAUCCAGCCAACUAUCCGGCCAAGAAUUGGCUGGAUAUAUGGCUGAAUUGGUGGUGAAAAUUGAAAAAAAAAAAUUGGAAUGCUGCCUGCCUCGAAUUCGGCCAGAAAUCCGGCCGAAUAUCCGGCUAGAUCUUGGCUGGAUUGUGACGUGCCCCUUUUCAGUUCGACUUCGGUCGUUCAUUUGAAAAAUAAUUUACAUGAUUUCAUACCUACUUGUUUCCGUCCAAUGAUUUUAAGGUUGAAACCAGAUUUCUCUUGUAUUUUAAAACCCCACCCUUGAGUAUCGAUUUACGAGUAAUUAAGGCUCGUACUUGUGAGAUUUUUUUAGAUUGUACAAGCAUGCAAUCUUUCUUUAUACUUAGGGGUUUUAAGUGAUUUGAGUAAUAAUGCGUUAUUAAUUGCUCAGGCACCCAAGAGGACCUUCAAGAGGAUCCCACGGUGGACGCCUGAACUUCGAAUGACAUUUCUUUUUUGUUUACUUGGUGAGUGUCAAGUGUAUGAGUACUUGAUACAUGCUUAACUGUUAUAAAUGAUUGGAGAUUUUGAAAAUGGAGUCGAGUGUGUACUUUACAGCACUCGUUCUCAUUUGAAAUAAAUGGAAUGAAAUAUAUUGAAUGAAAUGAAUGAUUGAAUGAUUAAAUGAAAUGAAAUAGUAUGCUAUGGCUGCAUACGUCAUUGGAGUGAAUCUCCUCGACUCACAAAUGAAUAUGAGGGACGCUCAAACUCAUAGGCCGACCUUGGGACUCGAGCCGUCAUGGGCCUGGUCGGGAACCUCGGUGAGCCAUGAGAUCAACAUGAUAAGUUUGAUCUAUUGGAGAGAUCUUGCUUGGCAUACUCGUGGAGUAUCGCCUUACAAAUGACGUUCGGAUCCGAUGCGGUGUACGGUGGACGGAUAUGAGAAGUAAGUGGAGUUCUACGGAUUUGAAAUACUAACUCGGUUGACUGAGUGUCAUCACGGGAAGGUAUACGAAUAAGACUAGCAAAGCAAGUGAAAAUUAGCUCCUGAAAUUUUAUCGAAUCUAGAUGCAUUAGUUAGCUCUAACCUCAUGCAUCCAUUUAGAAAUCAUUUAGGACAGAGUCUACCUUACUCUGUUAGGAGCACUAGACAUGAGGGGAGGAAUUCUAUCCCUCUUUUUUCACCUUAUAUUUUCUGUAUCAUUUUGUUAUUUCAAUGUUUUAUGUGAUAUUUAUCAAAUAAACUUACCAUUGUCUUCUUCUUAUGUCUUGCAUUCAUAAGGUUUAAAAAUAAAAGUCCUAUUAAGGUACUCAUUUAGAACAGACUGCCUUUAUAAAUAGAUUGUCACACGUUUAAAUUUUAAUUUAUUGCAUUAAUAUGAUGUAUAUAUGCAUGUCAUUUUUAGACUUAUUCAUAUCUAAAUGGGACACUUGUAGGUCAUGUUUCAAUUAUCGUAUUGCAUAUUUAUUCGUUUUGAUAAACUGACAUCAUGCAUUAACUUUAGAGGGAAUGACACUUAGGGAAUCCUAUUUCAAGAAUAUGCUAACCUUGUCUUCCCUGGGUAUCUAACCCUCUAUGGGAUAUUUAUGUUUAAAUUUUUGUAAAAUUAGAGAAGUGGGGCCUGUAGGUAAGAUAUUUAAUCAAGGUUACAUGCUUCAGAUGGACAGACCUCAAUGAUUCAAUCAACUAUUGGUGGUUCCAAUAGAGAUUUGAAAAUGGCCAAGUCUUCUCUCAUCUAAUAAAAUCAAUCAAGUAACUUCCUAUUUCGAAUCAAUUGGAGACUUCAAAGACAUUAAAUUAGAUGGGUACUUGGUAGAGGUUUUGAUUCAACUAUAAGAUCCCAAUUGUUCAAUAUUUAGGAUAGAAAACAAGGAGAUGGCUCUGACAAUUGAAGAGGUAGUCGGUCUUCUAAAUUUGUCAACAGAGGACACAACAGUGAUAUUUCCAGUCGCUUCUGGCAAGAUCGAGUUCUAUCAUUUCACUGGAUUAAAAGAGCCUGUAGUGCAAGAAUCAAAUCAAAGUAUAGAUAUAAAAUUUUUAUUUGACAGAUUCGCAAUGAAAAAUGGAUUUAACAUGCAUUUGAAGGAUUUCUCAUUUGCAUCUAAGGUGACAUGGAAGCGUAAGAGACCGCUGGUAUAUGGAUUUGUCAUGGUGAGGCUUUAUUUAUUCUCAAGAAAAGAUAAGAAAAUUGGUUUCAAAAUCACUAAACUUAUGCUUGAUUUAUUUUUUGGAAUUAAAAAUCGGCAAAACUCUAUAGUACUGACAGUGUUGGUUGACAUUUUUGUCGCAUAUACCAAUUGUUAAAAGGGAAAUUCUUUCAUGGAUCAAACCAAAUCCUGCAUAUAUGAGCCAUGGAACAUUUUAAGAGGCAAAUACCUACUCUUGAUGGUCUACCACUGCUUGGGUAUAAUUGGAUAUUUACUCAUCAUAAAAAAAUUGACAAAAGCAAUUUGCUAAGAAAUGUAGUUGAAUGGUUGGACUUUCUGAAGGUAUUACCAGAUCAGAAGAUUAGAUAGGUACUAGACUGGACCGACCAUUUUAACCCUACUCUAUGCACCAAAUUAUUAGAUUUUAUAUCACUAUUGGGAACUCAAAACAUCAUGGCCAACCCUCCGAAAAGGUUUUUCAGAUAGUUAAGACAUGUUUAAGGAUCACCACUCAUAUCCGAUUUGACCAGAUUCACCAUCAGUUUUGACAAAGAGAGAUGUCUGGACAAAAUUUCAAUAAAGAUACCAAUCAUUGAAACUUGAAAAAUAUUGUCUAAUGAUGAGGAUAUCGUUUAUAUUCCACAACUUAAGUAGAAGGCUUUAGUUACUCCUCAAUACCAGGAUUGGCUCAGAGAUUUUAAUGCUAAAUGGCCGCCGGUGGAACAAUCUGAGAAAGUCAAGAAAUUGAUGGCUAUCAGUAAGGCGAAAGACAGAGAAAAUAUGUAGUUGCAAUAAUUUGUGGAGUGAAUAAGAAUUUGGCAGAGAAGAAUAAAAGGCUGUGUGAAGAGAUGCAAGAAAAACACUAGGAGUUAAAAAAAAUGUGGUAAGCUGUAUGAUCAAACCGAGUACAUGUAGAAUCCCUAUUCCAGAGAGUCAAAAGAUGCUUUGAUAGAUAGAUUGAGAAAGUUUAAUGAUCUUGUACGAAAUCACUUUCGAGAAAUGAUGUAGAUGAUUAUAUGAGAUUUUGAAAUUCAUCAAUGAAGUGAUCAUUAUCUUGUGCAAAAUUAUUUCUAAAACACAGGUUUGAUGAAUAGGCCUCAAUUCAAAGGUGUUGUAUCAUAUUAGACCAAUUCUUGACAAAAAAUGGCUCCCUCAUAGGACAUGCAUUUGAAUUAUUUAAAUACUUACUAAUUCUGUCCUUUUUUGCUUUUUCUUCUUUCUAAAAAAAAGUUUGGCAGAUCUCAUCGAAAGUAAAUUUCUAAAUCAGUUCCUCUUCUAAAUCCUCAGGUACUCUUAAACAUAGUUUCAUGAAGAAAUCCAUCAUCACUAGGUCCCAAAGUAGAGUCUUAAGACAAUCUGUAAACAUGAGUUCAGUGCUAGAAGUUUCAGAGAGAUCUGCUAUAGUUGUGUCACUGGAUUUGAUAGCAUUGAGAGUUCAGUUAAGCGAGGUACUUGGCAUGUUCAAUGAGUUGAGUGCAGAAAUGACCGCACAAAGGCAUGUAAUUGAUCAGUUGGUCGCAAAUAACAGUGCUGGUGGUGUCUCAAACGAUUAAAAACCUAUUGAUAAUCACCCACCUGUAGCGCCCCCUUUUUGAAAAAUAAAAAUUACGAGUUUUGAUAAAAAUGAAUUUUUGAUUAAUUUUGAGUGAAAAAUGAGUUUUUAAUUUUAGAAAGUAAACAAAAGAAAAGGACCUAAAAUGGGACUUAAAAAGUGCAACAAUUUGGGCCAAAACAAUAGUUUAAAAAAGGUUUUUAAGAAAAAAUAGGAGUCGCCACUUGAUAUCGAGUUAAGGUGUACCAAGUCACCCAAAAAUACAUUUUUAAUAAAAAACAAAUAAAACCCUUCUUAGACGACUCCAAGUCUUUGAAAACAAGAGAAAAUGGUUCGAGAGUCACGGUUGAAAAAAGAGAAGGCAAGGAUAAAAUCCAAGACACCUUUCAACCUAGCCAAGGCUAGUUGCAUGAUUUAGUUAAAAUUUUUUUUAAUUUAACCUAUAAAACUCAUCACAUUUUGGAUGUUACUACAUGGACGCAAACCUAGACCUAAUGGAUAUCGGGAGGGUUGAAAUAUCUCUUCAAAAUUUAAUUGGUGCGAAUCACAUUAAUUGUGAUGUCCAAAAUGACUCUUGGAAUAGGUCAUGAAUAUACAAAGAGUGAUAUUCGAAGAAAAGAAAAAUUACAAUAUAUAAGUAUACGUAACCUAAAAAGAGGAAUACAAUAUAACGAGUACGGGGAACUGAGAUUCGUGACUAUAUUUUUCCUUUUUAUAGAGGAGAUACGAGCGUGCUAAGGCCAAAAGGCCAUACUCGUCCAUAACCCAUAUUUGAAGGGUGAUUUCUCUAAUUUAAUCAAGCAAAUGCACUAACCUACUUCUAAUUUCAUUAAAUGAAAUGCAAGUCUAAAUGUCAUGUUUCGCACAUAGGGAUAAGGGAUAUACAUAUAGAGGAAAUAUCAUGCAAAAAUGGUAAAUAUCCUAAAAAAGUAGAAAAUAUGCAUAAAAUAUAGUGCUUGUCACGCAAACAUGUAAAUCUAGCACGAGAACGACUCAAAGGGUCUAGCUUUAGACUAACCAAUUUUUACAAGUGUUCACUAGCAUUGGACUAGCGAGAAGUCAGGGAGAAAGGCCACAACUAGCGUUGGACUAGUGUGGUGACGUCGUGCAUUUAUUAUAACUAAAUAAAUCAUAUAAAACAUGAUAAAAGUAAGUAAGCACAUAGAUCACAUAGAGCAUAUAGCACAUAAGUAUGAUAUCUAUAUGCAAAGAUCCUAAGAAAGCGAGUAAACACGUAAACACACAAACAUGCAAGCACGCAAGCAAAUAAAAGCAAAUAGAAAUCUAACUAUUACAUUCGGGGACCCUAACUACAAUCUAGGGGGAAAAGAAUAAAAUAAUAACCUAACUAUUACAUUCAUCUAACUAAUUACACUUUUGGUAAGAAUUAAAAUCUAUCUAUUACAUAAUCUAUCUAAAUACAUGUCUUGAACCCCUAUCUAUUACAACUUGGCAUUUACAUGUCUCUUAAAUAAUUAUCAAAAUUAAAUUAAAUAUAUGAAACUUAAAACAAAUAAACGAAUAACUAAAAAAAAUCACUCAAAAACAUGCAAUUACACACAUGAAAACACAUAAAAGCACAUAAGAGGAUUUAAAAAUAACACAAGAGGAUACCUCCCUUGAAGUAGUAGCUAAUGGGGGAUUGGAUUUGUCCAACUUAACUCCAAAAUUAACAAAAAUCAUCAAGGCACCAAUUUAAUUAACAAAUAAAUCAUAAAGAAAUAGAAAUAAACAUGAAACUUAUCAAUUGAAGCAUUCAAAUGGAAUAUAAUUAAUAAUUAAAAAUAAAAGCAACUUCUAUUUGAGAAAUCAAACAAACAAGGACUUAAUUGCAAACAAUUAAGAAAAUUUUUGGGAUCAAAUUAUUAUUAUUACAAAAUUUUAGUGGUCAAAAUUAAAGAAAAAUAAAAUUAAGGGCUCAAAAUAAAGCCUACCAAACCCAAUGCUAAAAUCCACAAAAAUAAACCAACACCCAUUUGCAAAACCCAAAAUAAAAUAUUACCUAACUCUUUAAUUCUUUUGCUAAAAUCCAAAUCAAAAUUAUGAAUCUAUCAAAUUAUUAAACCUUAAUUUUCAUGCUAAAACUCAUUAAAAAUCUGUCCCAAGAAUCAUGUGAAAGCAUGCUCAAGAAGAUUAACAUUUUAAGGGACAAGAAUUGAUUGAUUUUUUCAAUUUUCUGGCCCAUAUCAGAAUUAUUUAAAAAAUAGGGGUCAAAAUGCAACUUUGAAAAUUUUGCGUGUAUCUUCUUCGUAGAGGCUUUCUUUCUGCAAUUUUCAUGGGUUUCAUUCCAGCAAACGCACGAAGCAAAUUAUUACACCAACGAGAUCAUGUACUUCAUGCAUUUUAUUUCCAUACUCCAACACAUAAAAGAUUCACCAGCCAAACAAGGAAUAUUCAGCAAGAAAAUUGUCUAAAACAACAUAACAGAGGGACGCGACAAGCUCAUCAAACUGACAACAAAUAUUUCAGAGUUUCAUGUUCAUUAAGCUCGAAUUUCCAUGAAAGUUGUGUAGAAAACCAACAAGAGGAAAGGCAAGAGUUACCUGAGAAUGCUGGAACCGUUAAAUGCACGUGAGAUGCCCCAAGAAAUUGAUCUUGUUCUGAAAAAUGAAGCCCAGGAACUUGUGUUGCAGAAGAUUUUAGAGCUGAUGAAGUCACUACUUUGAGCCUUGAUUUAACUAGCUUAGAGCUAUUUUCACUCGAUGAUUGCUGAACGAAAGUUGUUCUCGGAUAUCCAGAGAAGGUGCAGAAAAAAAAAUCUCCUCAAAAUAAGCACUAUCGAAACCAGAAACGAGCAAGAAAAAGGGCUAAUUUGUUAGCCUGGUGAUGAAAAAAUUUUUUUGCAGCAGCUUCUCUUCUUUUUUUUUACUUGAUCUUCCCUAUCUUUUCUUUCUUUUUUCUUGUCCCAAACUCUCUGUUCUCCCCCAGAUUUCUCCCUUCCUUUCUUUCUCUCUUUUUUUCCUUUUUCCUCUCCUCUCUUGCUUGUGUCUGAAACCCUCUUCCUCUCUUCUUUUCUUUUUUUCUCCAGUUUCUCUCUCGUUUUUUUCUAUCUCUCCGCAGCCUCUCUCUCCCUUUCUUGCUCUCCUAGGUUCUCUCUUCCUCCUCCUCUCUCUUUCUUUUCUCCCUUUCUUUUUCCUUUCUUCUCCUGCCCAAAGCUCUCUCCCUUCUCAGCCGAAACCCUUUUUUCUUCCUUUCUUCUUUCUUUCUCUUUUUCUGUCCGAAGCUCCCUUCCCAUUUUCCUCUUUGUUCCAGAUUUUUCCCAAACUCCACACCUAUCUUGCCACCUAACCCCUUGCAUGUGUUGUGCAAAAAACAAAGACAUAUGGUUAAUGCUCACCUAACCCACUUAGCUACCUUGCAUGCCCUCCACCUAUUUUUGUUUUUUUCCUUUUAUUUUGUUUUUUUCAAAACAAAUUUAGGGUAAACAAAAUGUUAAAUUCAUAUUUGAAAUUUCCUUGCAAAUUUUCAUUUUAUUUUGAAGAAAUUGAAUUUGAAAAGGUUGAAAAUAAAUUUUUAUGAGAAUUCUCUUUUUUUUCAUAAAUUAUUAAAAAGAAAAUGAACCUAAUUCAAUAAAAAUAGCGAACUAUCAUUUUGCAAACUUUGGUGAAAUAAAAAUAAAAUAAAAAAUAAAACAAAAACAAAACAAAAUAAAAUAAAAAUUUUGGUGUCUACACCUUGCACCUUUUUGUUUGAAUUUCGAAAAAACUCGAGACAAAAACGUAGACACCAAAUAUUUAGCUAGUAAUCUGCUGCGAACUGAAACAAGCAAACAUAUGAGGUCAGUGGGAUAAAACUCGAGUCUGCCGAAAAGUUGAUCAGUGGGAUAAAAUCUAAACCUGCCAUAAAAUUGGUCAGUGGGAUAAAACUCGAGUCUGCCAAAAAAUUAUUGAAAAAUACUUUUUGUAAAAUUUCAAAAAUUCUGAUCGCGACAGAUAACUCUUCUAAAAAAAAUUUGCCAGUAUGAUGUUAUUGGAUAUUUGGACCUACAAAAAAAGAAAUAAUCAUAAUGACAGAUAAUGCCACCACCAUCCGAUCAAUCUCUCCUUCAAGAAAUGUGUAAAUAUGAGUAUUUGAACAUUCUUCCCCGAUGUAGUAAACACUCAACUUUACUCUGUGAACCGUAUUAGGUUUUCUUAACUUCUAAUGCUAAUCAAAUAUGACAUUUGGUAUCCAGACACUUUCAAUAAAUCAUAGGGAUUACUAUUUGAUAAACUCAACGAGAUAAAUGAGACCAUGAAACACAUGAAAAAAUAUUUUAUUUACACAAAAAUGAUGAAAAUCCCAGUAACAUAAAAACAACAAUUUACCUUUAUUGAAAAAAAUUAAUUUUAGAGAAAUGAACCUGUAAACUCAACAGUUUAUGCUUGAUGAACCAAAGCACUUUGAUCUCAAACAAAAUGCCACAUUUGAUUCUUUGGAUAUCGUUCCUCCGGAGUUCAAUGUUGGCAACAGAACCACAACGUAAAGAGAAAUUCAAAUGAACUGAGUCAUUAGCCAUUCAAUUCCAUGCUCACUUUUUCUCAUAAAACCCUACCAUUCAAUUCCAUGCUUCUUCUUCUUUUUUUUUUCUCUCUUUUUUCUAAUGAAAGAUAAAAUUUGUCCCAGUGCGAGGUUUGUGAUUUUUAGAAGGCUAUCAAACGAAGGAAUAAAUUAUUCUGGAGGUUCAAAGGGGAGAUCUAGGGAUAAAAUGUUUAGAGGAAAAAGAAGAGGGCCCGCCUUUUAGUCCACCUUAGACCAUAUUUCAAAAAGAAAAAUCACAUAAUUAAAAAAAGAAUUUCUUACACAUAUCUGAAUUGGUUGGCUAAGGAAAAACCUGUCUAUCCAUUUCUGUAAGAAUGAGUGCUCCUCCGGGCAGUACUUUCUUGACAAUGAAAGGCCCUUACCAAUUUUGGAGCAAAUUUUCCUCUAGCUUCAUCUUGAAUGAGAAAAAUUCACUUCAAAACCGUAUCUCCUUCUUUGAACAAUCGAGGUCAGACUUUUUUAUUAUAAGCACGGUCCAUUCUUCUCUAAUAGCACUGUCCAUGGCAAACAGCGUUUAAGCGUCUUUUAUCAAUUAAAGACAACUGUUCAUGUCUCUGUUUGAUCCAUUCAGUCUCCUCCAGCUGAGCUUCCACUAAAAUGCGCAAGGAGGGGAUCUCAAUCUCUGCAGGUAAUACUGCUUCCAUUCCAUACAUAAGAGAAUAAGGCGUUGCCCCAGUAGAAGUUUUGAUUGCAGUAUGAUAAGCAUUAAUGCUUAUGACAGCUUUUCGUGCCAAUCACGGUGCCUUUCCAUUAUUUUGCGAAUGAUUUUCUUCAAAUUUAUUUGCUGCUUCCACAGCUUCAUUCAUUUGAGCCCUAUAUCUGGCUUAAAUUUGAGUAAUUUUUCUUUACCAGUGGAAAAUUCAGAUCAAUCGGCAAUUUGUGAACCGCUAUAUCUCCGCUUUUGUGCCAAUGUUAAUGAUUUCUAUCUCUUCUAAAUUCGGUUUGGAUUUCUCCUCAUAUUGUUCAAGAAUCUUUGACAAAGACUCAGAUUCUUCCUCGUUAUCGCUCUCGUUUUGAAUUUCUGAUUCAAUAAUUUUAAAUUCAUGAGAGAUAUCGAGAUUGCAGUCCUCAAAUUCUGGAAUAGUGAUAUCUAAAGGGUCAAUUUGUUUUAUUUUUGGCUAUCUGAAAAAGAAUGAAAUAGAUACAACAAUGCAUAAGUAAAAUAAUUGAAAAAUGAACACUGUGCAUUUAAUUGAAUUUCAAAUAAAGGACAAAAUGUCAUAAUACGCUGCCUAACAAAAGACUUGUAUUGAAAAGACAUUUGAUUCAAAACUAUUUACAAAACUAAAAAGCAAAAGAUGAACAAUGCAAAUGAUCUUUUUCAUAACUCUCAACUAAAGGCAAUCUCCUAGAUUUUACCGAAAUUUCCUUCGGGAGGGAAGAAAAUCUAUGGUCCAAUUCUUCAUUGCUUCCCUAGAGACCUCUGAAAAUUCUGGAUUCUUUGAUGGUUCACCCUGUAACCCUCACGAACAGCUUAGACAAAUUGAUCCACCUCAUCGAUCAGGUCCAAUUCAAAUCCGAUUACCUCCGAUGGAUAGGGAAAGGUGUAGUGCAGUGGUGGGAUAUUCCUGAUAAUUUGCUUUCCUUCCUUUUCUUCUCUCUUGUGAUCCAACAUUUCUUUCUUGUCCCUGGAAGUAGGUUGAAACUCUAGUCCAAAGAUGUCAUUCUUUUCUUGAAACUCUAUUGGUUCUAGAAUUCUCUGCAAGUUAUGCCCGAGACCUUUGCCUAUCUCAUAUCCUCCUCGACUCAUGUCUUUAACCAUUAUAACGCUGGCUUCUGGCAAAUUCAUUUCCACCACUGACUUGUCUUUGGACACCCAACCUAUUGAAACGAUAUCAGCGACAUGGUAAGGAGAAGCCAGAGUUUUACUAUCACUUUCCUCUUUUGGUCCGGGAUUGACAAUCAUAAUACAAUCAUCCUCUGUAAACACUGUGAUUAAUUGGUCAUUUACUACAAACCUCAAUAUCUGAUGGAGCGAAAUUGUAUGGUGUCGCGCCCCACUUUUUGAUAUGGUGUGUGGAAGUGUGUGUGGUGUGUGUGAACAUGUGUAAAAGUGAAAGAAAAGACCGUGGGAUUGUGAAAUGCGACGGUUUUGGUCAAGUAAAGUUCAAAAGGGUUUUUUUGUAUGAAAAAUGGAGUCGCCACUUGGUAUAGAGUUAGGGUGUACCAAGUCACCCAAAAAUGAUUUUUUAGUUUUUGAAUGAAAAAAGUAAACAAACCCUUUUUGAAAACUUUUAGGUCUACGUAACCAAAAAAAGGGAUCGGGGGUCACAUUUGGUAAGGGAGAAGGCAAAGGCGGAGCCUAAGGCACUCCCUUACCCUAGCCAAAGCUAGUUGUGUGACUUAGCCCCACGUUUUCUACUUUUCUACCCAAGGUAUGUAUCGCAUAUUGGAUAUGACUAUAUGAAUGCAAAACCUAGACCUAGGGGGACAUGGGGGGUAAAAUUUCUCUCCAAAGCUUGAGUGAUGCCAAUCACAUUAAUUGUGAAGCCCAAUAAUGAUUCUUUGGAGAGGUCACACAUAAUCCUAAAUGACGUAAAAAUGAGUGGAAUGCAUGCCAUGUGAAAAUGUGAGUUUGUGUGAAGUGAGAAAAGCAAUAAAAAUAAUAGUGGGUAAGUGGAGGUGUGCCAAUGUAUUUACAAGGUAAGGUGAGUAAAGAAUGAUGAUGUGAAAAUAACAUAAAGUGCAUGUGUGCGAGUGAUAUGGUAUAAAGUGUGAGUAGUUAAGUGAAAACAUACAAAAGUAGUGUGAAGUGAGAAUGUGAAAAAAGGGAUAGAAUAUAAAGUAGAAGUGUAUAGGAUAGCGAAUAAAUGAAAUGCAUGAGCCCUAGAGGAAUGCAAGCAAAAGGGGUACGGGGACUCCUAACUUUGUGACUUUAAUUUUCCCUUUGAUUAGAAAGGAGAACUAGCGUGCUAAGGCUAUUUUGUAGCCAAACUCGCUCGUUUCCCUUAUCGAAAGGGGACUCGUCAAGCAAAUGUACCCUAUAACUAGCAUGAGAAUGCAAAAAGCCUAGAAUGAGGGGAAAAGGAUUGGAAGAGCAUGCCAAAUGAUAAAAACUAAGAAAAAUGCAUGAAAUGUAAUGAACAUGCAAAUAUGCACUAACAAAAGGGGGACGGCCUAUUGGGUCUAGCGUUGGACUAGCCCAUUCUAUGAAUUCCUACUAGCGUUGGACUAGUGGAAACGUACAUUCAUCCAUCACAUUCAUUCAUGGCUAUGGAAAGCGAGUAGACAUGCCAAACACUCGUAAACACGUAGCACAUAACACUUAGCAUGCUCGACUAGAUGCAAAAGCCUAAUAAAGCAAAUUAACACAUAGCCACAAAAGCAAGCAAUCAAACUAAUGGACCUAUUACAUUUGCUAGCUAGGCACACGUCUUCAAUAGGUCUUCAUCAAGUGCUUUCCAAGCCCUAUCUAUUACAAGCCAAGAGGUGUACACAUACCCCAUAAAGAAUAACUUAAAUAAAAAGCAAAAGUAAAUGAAGUAAAUGAAAGGAAUUAAAGAAAAACAAGAGAAGCAAGUAGACAUGCAAUUUUCACGUAGCACGUUGGAUCACAUAGGAGAGACAAAAAAAGAUAAAAGUAGUUAUACCUCCCUUGAGUUGGAGCUCCAAUGGGGUGAAGUCACUUAUUUAUCCUCCAAAAUAAAAGAAAUGGUCAAGGUACCAAUUUAUUUGGGAAAAUUAAAGAAAAUGUGCAAAACAAAGCUCACUUGAUCGUAAAGCCUCUAAAGUCAUGGCUUAAGUACAAUUGACAAAGCACGGUAGUUAAUUGAAGCAAAGCAGGCAAUGAAAUUGCAAAAAACUAAAGCUGCCAAGGACCAAAUUGAGGACAUUAUUCAAUUGGUUGGGUCAUAGUGGCAUAAGGGAAAACUUGAGGGGCUGAAGUGCAAUUUUUCAGAAUUAUUUCAUGCAUGCACGAAGAACUUUCUUCAUUUCUGGUUGCUAUGUUUCUGCAAAUACUUCUCACCGAUCACCCAAACAUCUUAAACAAGGCUUCAAACUCGACAUUUAUUAGUUUCCUUAAGGCCAUCAUCAUGCACAAAAACUAGUCAUGCAAAAUGAAAUGAAACAUGGCAGAAAGUAGCCAUAGGAUCAGAUUUCUUGCUGCAAGUUUCUGCAACUAACUAGCUGCAAUUUUCUCAUAACUUGCAACUCUAACAAGCAAAGCCAUCCAAAUCCUCUAACAUGAUUUGCCAAAAACAUCAACCAAAUAUCAUUGUUUACCCCAAGAAUCAAACAGAGGUUGGGUAUGAAAUCAGCACAAGAAAAUGAACUUGGAGCAUUGAACAUAGCUGCAACAAAAACUGCAGCAGUAGAUUUGAACAAGCCAAAAGUUUCGAACAUAGCUGCAAUUGUUGUAUUCAGUCUAAUGCAAUCCUUUUUGCUCAAAUGAGGUCACGGUUGGCCCCAAAAUUGGAUAAAAAAACAGAAAUAUCAACUCAAUCAACAAACAGAGCAGUAAUCUUUCACCAAACAAUUGUAAUGAAGAAACAUAUGCAGCCUACCAAGAAAUUGUGAUACAAAAACCAGAGAUUUCAGGCGUCCAUACUUAAGAGAAAAGACUGAAAUUUAAAGGUACAGGACAGCUUACGAAACUCUUGCUCGAUAAAAAUUCGCAGUUGAUGACGGGUUUGGUGCGGUGGAGGCUCCUUUCGUUUGGCCUCCUUCAUCCAGCGAGCACGAGACCUUGAGUGAAUCUUGGAAGGCUUCCUGAUGAUGAACCCGUCCUUGACCAGCUUUCUUGUGUUUUGACGAAAAUUAGUCAUAGAGAUUUUGUUGACUCCAUUGGCUAGCCAGACCUUGCCUCUGCCGCACUGGAGGAUGUUGGCGGCGAGUCAUUUCUGAAAUUUCAGCGACACCAUCCCUUCGUCCAUCGGUCCGUUUCCUCUUCCUCUGGUUUUUCCUCAAACCCAGAUUUCGUGCUCCUCCAGUGAAGGCUUGCUGCAAUUUCUGGGUUGGCACAUCAGUCGCGUGGCUGGCAAAGCUUUCGACAAUAAUGGUGCUGAUGAAUGCUUGUCCGUGGUUUUCCUUCCUAGCCUGUAGACUCUAUCUCUCUCUCUCCCUCCAUUUUUCCGCAGCUUCCUUGAAGUUCUUCCCAAAACCUAGCCGCCCUCUCUUUCUACUUACUCUCCUGAAGGUCCUCUCACUUUGCACUCCAGCAUCCAAUUACCUUGCUUCUCAAGCCCUCCAUUCACUCUUCUCUCGACCGUCCCCCCCUCAGCAGUUGUCACCCAAAAACUCCUCCUCUCCAAGAUCGAAGCUUUCUUCAAGUUUCCUCCCGAGACCUAGCCUUCCCUCCAGAGUUUAGUGUCGCCACCCUUCUCUUCUCUGUUUGCUGUUCAAGAACCUCUCUUUUCUCAGCCUUCAAGCUCUCGUCCACUCUCGGCUCUCUCUCUUUCUGGUUUCUGGUUCCUUAGUCGUCAAAAAUUCUCUCUCCUUAGCUCUCAAAACCCCAGCCGCUGUUUUCUCUCCUCUCCUCAUUUUCAGCCGUCAUCGUUUCUUUUUAUAUGGGAACCACAGGUUCCCAAAACCCUACCCACGAUGAUUUGGAUGAUGCCAGAUGGUUUGUCCUAAUCCCACGAACCGAGCCAACCCAAGGUAAAAAUGAGAAAUGCGGCUGCCAUCCCUUCCUCCUGCGGCCGAAACCAAAACGUGGACUUUUCCUUUUUUUUUUCUUUUUUUUUCAAGUUAAUUAAACAAAAAUGAAAAUAAUAUAAAGUAAAGAAAAACAACAAUUUGACUAACAUCGGACAAAAAUAAAUAAACUAGAAAUAAAAGACAACAAAGUUGCGAUUUUUCAAUUUCUUUUCUUUUCUUCAUUUUUUAUUUUUAAAUAAUAAAACUAAAUCUAAAAACAACUAAAACAUAUAUUUUUGAAUGCUUUUCCUUUUUUUCUUUUUUUACUUUUUUUUUCCGAGAAAUUCUAUGCUAAAAAACUUAAAAAUAAAAUAAAAACUAAAAACUAAAAACUAAAAAGUGAAUAAACCUAACACGACAAACAAAAACUAAAAAAAAAAGUAAAUGAAAUUACACUAAAAAUUUGGUGUCUACAGUUUGCCCCUCUUUUUCUGAAUUUUGAAAAAACUUGAGACAAAAAAGUAGACACCAAAUACUUACCUGUAAACUGGCUGCAAAUUAUUCGAGGGACUGACGCUUUUGAAAAUGAGGACUGACCUCCUUUAAAAUGUUGAGAAAUGGGAUUGACCCAAACAAAAAUUUAAACGGGACUGACCCGAACUGGAAUUUAAACGGGACUGACCCGAACAGGAAUUUAAACGGGACUGACCCGAACAGAAAUUUAAAAUCAUGGGAUUGACCCGAACAAAAUUUAAAAUCAUGGGACGCACGUUACUGGGACUGACCCACGGCUAGCGGCGGGGUAAAUGAAAUGCUCACUGGCGGGACUCACCUCACGCUCCAGCGGCUGUGAAAAUGAAAUGCUCACUGGCGGGACUAACCUCACGCUCCAGUGGCUGUGAAAAUGGCGGGACUAACCUCACGCUCCAGUGGCUGUGAAAAUGAGCACAACUGAAAUGCUCACUGGCGGGACUAACCUCACGCUCCAGUGGCUGUGAAAAUGAAAUGCUCACUGGCGGGACUAACCUCACGCUCCAGUGGCUAUGAAAAUGAAAUGCUUACUGGCGGGACAAACCCAGCUCCAGUGAAAAUAAAAUGCUUACUGGCGGGACAAACUUAGCUCCAAUAGCAAUGAAAAUAAAAUGCUUACUGGCGGGACAAACCCAGCUCCAAUAGCAAUGAAAAUAAAAUGCCUUGACAAUCGGACAGUGGGAUCAAACCCGAGCCUGCCGUGAUGAACUUGAUUUGAUUUUUGAUUUUUUUGAUUUUUUUGAUUUUUGAUUUUUGAUUUUUUGAUUUUUGAUUUUUUUGAUUUUUUGAUUUUUUAAUUUUUCCUGACUGAGAGAGACUUGUCGAAAUAAUUUGCCCCAGUAUGAUGAAUUGGUCAGUGGGAUUAAACCCGAGCUUGCCUUGAGAAUCGGAAAUAGAAAGGCACGUUAGUGGGAUGAACCCCAUGCUAACGGAGAUAGACUAAAAAACAACACACACGUUAGCGAGAUAGACUCGAUGCUAACGGUGGUGGAAUGAAAACGCACGCGUUAGUGAGAUAGACUCGAUGCUAACGGUGGUGAAGAUAAACGCACGCGUUAGUGAGAUAGACUCGAUGCUAACGGUGGUAGAAUGAAAAACGCACGCGUUAGUGAGAUAGACUCGAUGCUAACGGUGGUAGAAUGAAAACGCACGCGUUAGUGAGAUAGACUCGAUGCUAACGGUGGUAGUGAGAUAGACUCGAUGCUAACGGUGGUAGGGUGAAACGCACACGUUAGUGAGAUAGACUCGAUGCUAACGGUGGUUAAAGUUAGUGAAUUAAAAGUGGUUGUCAAGAAUAGGGAAAUGGAAGGGUGCGCGGCGGGCGUUGAGACUCGCCAACAAGAAAUUAAAAUCUGACAUUGAAAAUGAUUUUUAUUUUUCCCGUUUUUUCCUUUUCGUUUGGGAGAAACUUUUCAAGAAAUAAUUUUGCCCCAAUCUCCACCACUUAUUGUGCAACCGAUCAUUUGAUUUGCAUUAUGGCAGGGCUGCUCCUCCUUGAGGCCUUGAUUCGUAAGAUUUUGACUUACGCUCCUUCGUCGAUUUCAACCAUGGAUACCUGCACAGGGGCUUACCAAAGUAUGAUAUGCACUUGAAUUUCAAAAUAUUGCAACUACUAUUCAUAGAAAGAUCAGUGUGAUUGAAAUGGACUAUAAAAAAUUUGCCCCAGUGUGGGUUUAUUUUGCGAAAUCUUGCAAAUAAAAAUUUUGCCCCAGUGUGGGCCCAUUUGAUUGCAAAAAUUGAUUUGGAUGACUCUCCAAUUAUUUGAACAAAGUAAGCAAUUGCUUUUCCUAACAUAUCAUGUGAAAAAAUUGAAUGUCUUGCUUAAACUCAUAUAACAAAUUUCAUGAUGAAUUUCUCAAAAUAAUGCCAAAUUACGAAAGAUUUCUUCCCCACUUUAGCAUCAAUGCUUUGGGUGAUGGGUCACCAUUUCUGGUUGGUUCAUCUUUCAGGACCAAUCAAGUGACUUUAUUUUUGAUUUUGAGGUGGCUAAGGAAAUGGGAGGUCAGAAUCUGUCUCAUUCUUGCGCCCAAAUCAUAUCUAACCCAUUCAAUAUCACAUCUUAGUGAAAGCAAAGAGUUUGUCACCCUUAUUUCUUAAGAAAACUUAGUCAACACAUAAGCUUUAAGCUUGCAACAAAUGGGUAGGAACGAUAGCUAAACAUGCGAAAACUGGUUAUACCCUUAUGAUCACAAAUGAUUGAUGGAUUUUCUUAUGAGCAUAAUCCUCACUUUGGGUUGUCAUGAAGGAAUAAGUCAACGAUGGACUUUAUUAGCUUGUAAUGUGGUUUGAAACGAUAGUUAAAGAAUAAGACUUUCAGGGAUAUUGCACCAAAAAUCGCAUUUUUCCAAAAUUGCCCCUAUUUUGAACUCAAAAGAUUUCAGACUUUGUUUGGAUUUUCUCAUCAUUCCCCAGGGACUUCAGCGUCGAAUUUUUCUGCAUCUUCUUGCAUUUACUUUUCUUGCUUUGCUUUUUGCCUCUUUUUCCUUUCCCUCAAUUUGGUGGGUUUUCACAUGGUGAGUAGCGUCAACUCCAUACCCAAGCAAUUCAGAAAUACAGCUAAAAUUUUCCGGCAUCAGAAAUUUUCUUGACAGGGCCAUUGCAAAGAACAGAAGUCAGGACUUUCGGCUUUUGUAAUGGGGUCUGGUGGGGUGUUUAGAAAAGUUAAGGCUUGAAGGCAGAUUUCAAGAGUGGUUUAAGUAAUCUGAAAUCGCAUUGUUGUGCCAACCCUAUUUUAGGGUUAAAUCAAGACUUGCCCCAGAGUUUAUGCUUAAUUGAGGCUUUUUCGCUUUCAUUUUCUUUCUUCUUUUGAUUUUUCGGCCUUCUGCCAUUUUUGAACUUUCACAAAAUUUGCCACAGUUUAUUGUGAACUGAGGUUCUCUUUUCUUCUUUUGUCUUUUGAUUUUGUGGCCUUUCACUUUUUCACUUCUUGAAAUUUUCCUUUUCAACUCAAACUUGCCCCAGUGUGGGGUUUGCGAUUCUCAGGGGUUGAAAAAUGAAGUAUUUUAUUCUGAAGGCUCAAAAGGGAUAACUAGGGAUAGAAUGUUUGAUUGGAAAAAGAAGAUAGCCUGACUUGUAUUCCGUUCCUUACAAUAACUCUGAGAGGAAACUUUCAUUAAUGCGAAAUUUCUGACAUGUAUCUGAAUUAACUGACUAAGGAAGACCCUUGCUCAUUCAUAUCUAUGAAACAUAAGUGAUCCGCCGGACAGAACUUGUCCUUUUUCCUCUUUUCUUUUCUUUUCAAAAUUGAAACCCAGGUAGAAUCAAAUUUCCCCAAUUCGCGGUUCCCUUUCCUUUUUUUUUUCUUUUUUCAAAAUUCCCCAAUCUCCUUCCCCAAAGUGGGAUGCGAUCAUAUGUGCACUCGAAAAGAACCACCAAUUUUUUAGCUCAAAUGAGGAUGCAAGGGAUGAUCAGUGUUUAGGUUGUAGAAAUGACGGCCAAAGCAUCAUUCUUACACUUCAUGACAAUCAACGUAACGCAAUGCUCAUUGAAAAUCCACUCCCUUUUGAUAUUUGAAAAUUUUCCAUGUAGGGUAGUGAUCAUCAAGACGCUUAUUUGAAACGAAAUUAUUCUUUUAAAGGUUCAAACGGGAGAGCAAAUGAUAAACUCUGUAUAGAUAGAGAAAAGAAUGCUCGAAGUAUCAUUCCAAAUUUUCAAAACAAACAAGAAUAAUGCACAUUUUUGCUUUCACUUAGAUGUGAAUUGAAUCGGUUAAACACAAUGGAUAUUUUCAAGCAAAGAUGGCCCCAAUUUGCAAUUUAUCAAUCAGUGUGACUGAUUUUAUUCUGGGGUUAAGUGAAGGAGAAAAGGUAUCUCAUUGGGUCUUUUGAGUGACCGUUCACCCUUUUCUGAGCACUCUUAUUGUAUAGCUCGGAUCACCAACCUAGUGUACAUGAGGAUUUUAGAGAGUAUACACUUGCGAAAUUCAGGCUAUAGGUUGAAAAAAAAAAUCUCAAUUUGGUCUUAUUUCUCAAAAUUCAUCAUGAAAUCUCUAAUGAGUAAGAAUAAAGAAUGAAAUGUACAUAUACACAAGACAAUAAUUGUCCAAAAAUUUUAUUGCUGAAAAAGUUUGAAACAAAAAUUCCUGUUCAAUUACAAUACAAAUGAGAAGAGAGAAACUUUUAAAGAGCUCCACAUAUACACUUUUUGUCUCCUUUUCUUUUGGAACAAAAUGUAUUAACAAAUCAAAUAUACAAAAUCUUCUUUUGAAAAACAAUUACAACAUCUCUCAGAGGCUUUAGCGUAGAGCUUCCAGAUAGAUCAUUUAUGUUUUCAUUAUAGGAUCUGCCCAAAAAUCACACAAUACUUGCAAUUUUGACACUUUAUUAGAUCGGAAGUGCCAUCAGAUAUAGAAAAAUAUUUUCCCUUUAUUGAAGUAUUUUUAUGAAUGCAGGGAAGGGGGAAAACAAAAGAAAAAUACCCAGAGUUAGUAAGCAAGAUUAUAAAAUCGGUAUGCAUGUCCUAUGGGGGAACCCUUUUAUGCCAAGGGUAGGCCUAGCAUGAAAAUGCAAUCCUCUAGGGUAGGCACUAUACCAUACCUGACGGAUCUGAUCAACUCAUUGAGUGAAAAAUAAUUUUGAAAAAUUUGGUCAACUGGAGUGACGAGAGACAUAUGUCAAAAUGAGGUCAAUGUUCGAAUGGAUUGAUCACUUUUGAUCGAUACAAGAAUUUGCAAAAACGCACGGGUUUGACCUUAACGAACUUCGUAUCGAAGAGAUUAGAAUUCGUUGAAAAUUUUUUUUUCAGUGAAGCACGAGUCAAAACCCCAACUGAUCAAAUGGCUGGAUGCAAUGAAUGGUUUUCUCAAAAUCGACUAGGUUUCCCAAUUUGAAAUUGACAUUGAAAUCCUAAUUGUUUAAAUGGGUUGAAUGAAAUUGACCAUUUAUUUAAAAUCGACCGGAUUACCCUAAAAAGGGAAGCGGGUCAAAUGAAUUGAGUGAAAUUUAAAACUUACUCAAAAUUGACCGAAUCAUCCUAAAAAAGGAACUUGAUCGAAUGAAUUGAAUGAAAUUGAGAAUUUUAUUCAAAAUUGACCGGAUUGUCCUAAAAAAUGAAAUUGAUUAAAUGAAUUGAAUGAAAUCGAGAAUUUAUUCAAAAUUGACCAGAUCGCCCUAAAAGGGUAAACUGGUCAAAUGAAUCAGACGAAAUUGAUAAUUUAUCGAAAAUCGACAAAAUUGCCCUAACUAAUCAAAUAAAUUGAAUGAAAUUGGUGAUUUAUUCAAAAGUCAACUAGAUUGCCCUAAAAUGGAUAAACUAGUCAAAUGAAUUCAAAAUCGACUAGGUUGCCCUAAAAAUGAACAAAUUGAUAAAAUGAACUAGAUGAAAUUGAGGAAUCAAAUGAUCCAAUGGAUUGAAUGGCUUGAUGCAUUAGUCUAUGAGCCUUCUAAAAUCAAAUUUUGGCCUCAGUUUAUUUAUCGUCUCAAUAGGAGGAAUUAUUUGUUAAUUUCUUCAAAUUAAUGUCCUUUAAGCAAUGGAUUUUUACCAAUUUUUGAUAAAAUGGCCAAAAAAAAAAUGAUUAUUAGAGGCUCAUAUUCCAAAAAUCGCUCUAUGAAAAUGGUCGGAUCCUACCUUACCUUGUGCACUACCCCUUUGGAUGGUACAAAAUGUAAACGUGCAAGUCUCCUUGGAUUAAGUAUCCGAGACACAAGGUGGUUUAUUUCUAACACGGGAUCCCUUAAAUGGCAUUCCCUUUCUAGGGUUAUGCAUGAUGCCAUUUUAUUAAAGCAGUAAAACAUGCAAUUUGAAAUGAAAUCAUGACCUAAAAGGACCUUUUAUACGCCAAGGUAGGCUUAGAAUGCUAUGCAAUUAUUAAUCUAUGAAUGCAAUACACCAAAAUCUUUAAACGUGCAAUAACCUAUCUACGAGGGUAGGUUCUAAAAGAAGGUCAUGCCAGACCUCUUAUUUGCUAGGGUUUGUGAAUGCAAUGGGGACACAAAACCAAGAAAAGUUAGUUCAGCCAGAUAAAUACACAUAACACAUUGUAGCAACGAGAUAAAGCAAUAAAAUCAAUACAAAGCAAUUAAAAGGGAAAAAGGGGUUGGAUCCCUCCCCUCGUGAAUAGUGUCCCUAAUAGGGUAAGGCCGACUCUAUCCUAAGGCAAUUCUAAUAUGGAUGCAUGAGGUUGGGCUUACUAAUGCAUCUAGACUCGAUAGGUCAUAGGUCCCCGAGCCUUCACACUUGGAAACCAAGGGUCAUCAAUCCCAAGGUUCUUUGUCGGUGGCUCGAGCGAUUCCCCAAACACCGCUACGUACACAUCAUGUCACGGCUACGUGUUUGAGUGAAUCUAUCAAAAUCCCCAACCUUCGACUAAAAGCUAAAGGCUAUCAACCCAUAGCUUAAAGCGGAAGAUUGAGUGACCCAUUGGAUCAUGCUACACACACAUCGUGUCGUGAUCACAUGUCCAAGUGGGUCGCCUAAAAUCCUAACAGGGUGGAGUGGCGUGACAAGCCACUAAAAGAAAAAAUAAAUGGGGGGUGAAAAAAAUUAAAGCGUAUGCACGUAUGCUAGUGCUCGUUUGGAGGGGAGGGAUCAAGAACCAACGCGAGGCUCUAGGGUGAUGUCCCCCACCCAAAUGCAAUGCAAGCGCGAGAUAAACAAGUAAACAUACAUCCCAUCAACCAAACAUACAUUCGUGAGCGAGGGAGUAGUUUGAGACGUGCGCGAGUCAAAAGGUCCUAAAAAGGAAAAAUGCAACUCUAAUAUCCACAUGCCAUGCAUAAAAAAGGGUAGAAAAAGGAAACUAAUGGCUAAGUCAAAUGCUUGGACCCACUUAGGAUGUCCCCAGUGGAGUCGCCAAGUUGUCGCGCCCCACUUUUUGAUAUGGUGUGUGGAAGUGUGUGUGGUGUGUGUGAACGUGUGUAGAAGUGAAAGAAAAGACCGUGGGAUUGUGAAAUGCGACGGUUUUGGUCAAGUAAAGUUCAAAAGGGUUUUUUUGUAUGAAAAAUGGAGUCGCCACUUGGUAUAGAGUUAGGGUGUACCAAGUCACUCAAAAAUGAUUUUUUAGUUUUUGAAUGAAAAAAGUAAACAAACCCUUUUUGAAAACUUUUAGGUCUACGUAACCAAAGAAAGGGAUCGGGGGUCACAUUUGGUAAGGGAGAAGGUAAAGGCGGAGCCUAAGGCACUCCCUUACCCUAGCCAAAGCUAGUUGCGUGACUUAGCCCCACGUUUUCUACUUUUCUACCCAAGGUAUGUAUCGCAUAUUGGAUAUGACUAUAUGAAUGCAAAACCUAGACCUAGGGGGACAUGGGGGGUAAAAUUUCUCUCCAAAACUUGAGUGAUGCCAAUCACAUUAAUUGUGAAGCCCAAUAAUGAUUCUUUGGAGAGGUCACACAUAAUCCUAAAUGACGUAAAAAUGAGUGGAAUGCAUGCCAUGUGAAAAUGUGAGUUUGUGUGAAGUGAGAAAAGCAAUAAAAAUAAUAGUGGGUAAGUGGAGGUGUGCCAAUGUAUUUACAAGGUAAGGUGAGUAAAGAAUGAUGGUGUGAAAAUAACAUAAAGUGCAUGUGUGCGAGUGAUAUGGUAUAAAGUGUGAGUAGUUAAGUGAAAACGUCCAAAAGUAGUGUGAAGUGAGAAUGUGGAAAAAGAGAUAGAAUAUAAAGUAGAAGUGUAUAGGAUAGCGAAUAAAUGAAAUGCAUGAGCCCUAGAGGAAUGCAAGCAAAAGGGGUACGGGGACUCCUAACUUUGUGACUUUAAUUUUCCCUUUGAUUAGAAAGGAGAACUAGCGUGCUAAGGCUAUUUUGUAGCCAAACUCGCUCGUUUUCCUUAUCGAAAGGGGACUCGUCAAGCAAAUGUACCCUAUAACUAGCAUGAGAAUGCAAAAAGCCUAAAAUGAGGGGAAAAGGAUUGGAAGAGCAUGCCAAAUGAUAAAAACUAAGAAAAAUGCAUGAAAUGUAGUGAACAUGCAAAUAUGCACUAACAAAAGGGGGACGCCCUAUUGGGUCUAGCGUUAGACUAGCCCAUUCUAUGAAUUCCUACUAGCGUUGGACUAGUGGAAACGUACAUUCAUCCAUCACAUUCAUUCAUGGCUAUGGAAAGCGAGUAGACAUGCCAAACACUCGUAAACACGUAGCACAUAACACUUAGCAUGCUCGACUAGAUGCAAAAGCCUAAUAAAGCAAAUUAACACAUAGCCACAAAAGCAAGCAAUCAAACUAAUGGACCUAUUACAUUUGCUAGCUAGGCACACGUCUUCAAUAGGUCUUCAUCAAGUGCUUUCCAAGCCCUAUCUAUUACAAGCCAAGAGGUGUACACAUACCCCAUACAGAAUAACUUAAAUAAAAAGCAAAAGUAAAUGAAGUAAAUGAAAGGAAUUAAAGAAAAACAAGAGAAUCAAGUAGACAUGCAAUUUUCACGUAGCACGUUGGAUCACAUAGGAGAGACAAAAAAAGAUAAAAGUAGUUAUACCUCCCUUGAGUUGGAGCUCCAAUGGGGUGAAGUCACUUAUUUAUCCUCCAAAAUAAAAGAAAUGGUCAAGGUACCAAUUUAUUUGGGAAAAUUAAAGAAAAUGUGCAAAACAAAGCUCACUUGAUCGUAAAGCCUCUAAAGUCAUGGCUUAAGUACAAUUGACAAAGCACGGUAGUUAAUUGAAGCAAAGCAGGCAAUGAAAUUGCAAAAAACUAAAGCUGCCAAGGACCAAAUUGAGGACAUUAUUCAAUUGGUUGGGUCAUAGUGGCAUAAGGGAAAACUUGAGGGGCUGAAGUGCAAUUUUUCAGAAUUAUUUCAUGCAUGCACGAAGAACUUUCUUCAUUUCUGGUUGCUAUGUUUCUGCAAAUACUUCUCACCGAUCACCCAAACAUCUUAAACAAGGCUUCAAACUCGACAUUUAUUAGUUUCCUUAAGGCCAUCAUCAUGCACAAAAACUAGUCAUGCAAAAUGAAAUGAAACAUGGCAGAAAGUAGCCAUAGGAUCAGAUUUCUUGCUGCAAGUUUCUGCAACUAACUAGCUGCAAUUUUCUCAUAACUUGCAACUCUAACAAGCAAAGCCAUCCAAAUCCUCUAACAUGAUUUGCCAAAAACAUCAACCAAAUAUCAUUGUUUACCCCAAGAAUCAAACAGAGGUUGGGUAUGAAAUCAGCACAAGAAAAUGAACUUGGAGCAUUGAACAUAGCUGCAACAAAAACUGCAGCAGUAGAUUUGAACAAGCCAAAAGUUUCGAACAUAGCUGCAAUUGUUGUAUUCAGUCUAAUGCAAUCCUUUUUGCUCAAAUGAGGUCACGGUUGGCCCCAAAAUUGGAUAAAAAAACAGAAAUAUCAACUCAAUCAACAAACAGAGCAGUAAUCUUUCACCAAACAAUUGUAAUGAAGAAACAUAUGCAGCCUACCAAGAAAUUGUGAUACAAAAACCAGAGAUUUCAGGCGUCCAUACUUAAGAGAAAAGACUGAAAUUUAAAGGUACAGGACAGCUUACGAAACUCUUGCUCGAUAAAAAUUCGCAGUUGAUGACGGGUUUGGUGCGGUGGAGGCUCCUUUCGUUUGGCCUCCUUCAUCCAGCGAGCACGAGACCUUGAGUGAAUCUUGGAAGGCUUCCUGAUGAUGAACCCGUCCUUGACCAGCUUUCUUGUGUUUUGACGAAAAUUAGUCAUAGAGAUUUUGUUGACUCCAUUGGCUAGCCAGACCUUGCCUCUGCCGCACUGGAGGAUGUUGGCGGCGAGUCAUUUCUGAAAUUUCAGCGACACCAUCCCUUCGUCCAUCGGUCCGUUUCCUCUUCCUCUGGUUUUUCCUCAAACCCAGAUUUCGUGCUCCUCCAGUGAAGGCUUGCUGCAAUUUCUGGGUUGGCACAUCAGUCGCGUGGCUGGCAAAGCUUUCGACAAUAAUGGUGCUGAUGAAUGCUUGUCCGUGGUUUUCCUUCCUAGCCUGUAGACUCUAUCUCUCUCUCUCCCUCCAUUUUUCCGCAGCUUCCUUGAAGUUCUUCCCAAAACCUAGCCGCCCUCUCUUUCUACUUACUCUCCUGAAGGUCCUCUCACUUUGCACUCCAGCAUCCAAUUACCUUGCUUCUCAAGCCCUCCAUUCACUCUUCUCUCGACCGUCCCCCCCUCAGCAGUUGUCACCCAAAAACUCCUCCUCUCCAAGAUCGAAGCUUUCUUCAAGUUUCCUCCCGAGACCUAGCCUUCCCUCCAGAGUUUAGUGUCGCCACCCUUCUCUUCUCUGUUUGCUGUUCAAGAACCUCUCUUUUCUCAGCCUUCAAGCUCUCGUCCACUCUCGGCUCUCUCUCUUUCUGGUUUCUGGUUCCUUAGUCGUCAAAAAUUCUCUCUCCUUAGCUCUCAAAACCCCAGCCGCUGUUUUCUCUCCUCUCCUCAUUUUCAGCCGUCAUCGUUUCUUUUUAUAUGGGAACCACAGGUUCCCAAAACCCUACCCACGAUGAUUUGGAUGAUGCCAGAUGGUUUGUCCUAAUCCCACGAACCGAGCCAACCCAAGGUAAAAAUGAGAAAUGCGGCUGCCAUCCCUUCCUCCUGCGGCCGAAACCAAAACGUGGACUUUUCCUUUUUUUUUUCUUUUUUUUUCAAGUUAAUUAAACAAAAAUGAAAAUAAUAUAAAGUAAAGAAAAACAACAAUUUGACUAACAUCGGACAAAAAUAAAUAAACUAGAAAUAAAAGACAACAAAGUUGCGAUUUUUCAAUUUCUUUUCUUUUCUUCAUUUUUUAUUUUUAAAUAAUAAAACUAAAUCUAAAAACAACUAAAACAUAUAUUUUUGAAUGCUUUUCCUUUUUUUCUUUUUUUACUUUUUUUUUCCGAGAAAUUCUAUGCUAAAAAACUUAAAAAUAAAAUAAAAACUAAAAACUAAAAACUAAAAAGUGAAUAAACCUAACACGACAAACAAAAACUAAAAAAAAAAGUAAAUGAAAUUACACUAAAAAUUUGGUGUCUACAGUUUGCCCCUCUUUUUCUGAAUUUUGAAAAAACUUGAGACAAAAAAGUAGACACCAAAUACUUACCUGUAAACUGGCUGCAAAUUAUUCGAGGGACUGACGCUUUUGAAAAUGAGGACUGACCUCCUUUAAAAUGUUGAGAAAUGGGAUUGACCCAAACAAAAAUUUAAACGGGACUGACCCGAACUGGAAUUUAAACGGGACUGACCCGAACAGGAAUUUAAACGGGACUGACCCGAACAGAAAUUUAAAAUCAUGGGAUUGACCCGAACAAAAUUUAAAAUCAUGGGACGCACGUUACUGGGACUGACCCACGGCUAGCGGCGGGGUAAAUGAAAUGCUCACUGGCGGGACUCACCUCACGCUCCAGCGGCUGUGAAAAUGAAAUGCUCACUGGCGGGACUAACCUCACGCUCCAGUGGCUGUGAAAAUGGCGGGACUAACCUCACGCUCCAGUGGCUGUGAAAAUGAGCACAACUGAAAUGCUCACUGGCGGGACUAACCUCACGCUCCAGUGGCUGUGAAAAUGAAAUGCUCACUGGCGGGACUAACCUCACGCUCCAGUGGCUAUGAAAAUGAAAUGCUUACUGGCGGGACAAACCCAGCUCCAGUGAAAAUAAAAUGCUUACUGGCGGGACAAACUUAGCUCCAAUAGCAAUGAAAAUAAAAUGCUUACUGGCGGGACAAACCCAGCUCCAAUAGCAAUGAAAAUAAAAUGCCUUGACAAUCGGACAGUGGGAUCAAACCCGAGCCUGCCGUGAUGAACUUGAUUUGAUUUUUGAUUUUUUUGAUUUUUUUGAUUUUUGAUUUUUGAUUUUUUGAUUUUUGAUUUUUUUGAUUUUUUGAUUUUUUAAUUUUUCCUGACUGAGAGAGACUUGUCGAAAUAAUUUGCCCCAGUAUGAUGAAUUGGUCAGUGGGAUUAAACCCGAGCUUGCCUUGAGAAUCGGAAAUAGAAAGGCACGUUAGUGGGAUGAACCCCAUGCUAACGGAGAUAGACUAAAAAACAACACACACGUUAGCGAGAUAGACUCGAUGCUAACGGUGGUGGAAUGAAAACGCACGCGUUAGUGAGAUAGACUCGAUGCUAACGGUGGUGAAGAUAAACGCACGCGUUAGUGAGAUAGACUCGAUGCUAACGGUGGUAGAAUGAAAAACGCACGCGUUAGUGAGAUAGACUCGAUGCUAACGGUGGUAGAAUGAAAACGCACGCGUUAGUGAGAUAGACUCGAUGCUAACGGUGGUAGUGAGAUAGACUCGAUGCUAACGGUGGUAGGGUGAAACGCACACGUUAGUGAGAUAGACUCGAUGCUAACGGUGGUUAAAGUUAGUGAAUUAAAAGUGGUUGUCAAGAAUAGGGAAAUGGAAGGGUGCGCGGCGGGCGUUGAGACUCGCCAACAAGAAAUUAAAAUCUGACAUUGAAAAUGAUUUUUAUUUUUCCCGUUUUUUCCUUUUCGUUUGGGAGAAACUUUUCAAGAAAUAAUUUUGCCCCAAUCUCCACCACUUAUUGUGCAACCGAUCAUUUGAUUUGCAUUAUGGCAGGGCUGCUCCUCCUUGAGGCCUUGAUUCGUAAGAUUUUGACUUACGCUCCUUCGUCGAUUUCAACCAUGGAUACCUGCACAGGGGCUUACCAAAGUAUGAUAUGCACUUGAAUUUCAAAAUAUUGCAACUACUAUUCAUAGAAAGAUCAGUGUGAUUGAAAUGGACUAUAAAAAAUUUGCCCCAGUGUGGGUUUAUUUUGCGAAAUCUUGCAAAUAAAAAUUUUGCCCCAGUGUGGGCCCAUUUGAUUGCAAAAAUUGAUUUGGAUGACUCUCCAAUUAUUUGAACAAAGUAAGCAAUUGCUUUUCCUAACAUAUCAUGUGAAAAAAUUGAAUGUCUUGCUUAAACUCAUAUAACAAAUUUCAUGAUGAAUUUCUCAAAAUAAUGCCAAAUUACGAAAGAUUUCUUCCCCACUUUAGCAUCAAUGCUUUGGGUGAUGGGUCACCAUUUCUGGUUGGUUCAUCUUUCAGGACCAAUCAAGUGACUUUAUUUUUGAUUUUGAGGUGGCUAAGGAAAUGGGAGGUCAGAAUCUGUCUCAUUCUUGCGCCCAAAUCAUAUCUAACCCAUUCAAUAUCACAUCUUAGUGAAAGCAAAGAGUUUGUCACCCUUAUUUCUUAAGAAAACUUAGUCAACACAUAAGCUUUAAGCUUGCAACAAAUGGGUAGGAACGAUAGCUAAACAUGCGAAAACUGGUUAUACCCUUAUGAUCACAAAUGAUUGAUGGAUUUUCUUAUGAGCAUAAUCCUCACUUUGGGUUGUCAUGAAGGAAUAAGUCAACGAUGGACUUUAUUAGCUUGUAAUGUGGUUUGAAACGAUAGUUAAAGAAUAAGACUUUCAGGGAUAUUGCACCAAAAAUCGCAUUUUUCCAAAAUUGCCCCUAUUUUGAACUCAAAAGAUUUCAGACUUUGUUUGGAUUUUCUCAUCAUUCCCCAGGGACUUCAGCGUCGAAUUUUUCUGCAUCUUCUUGCAUUUACUUUUCUUGCUUUGCUUUUUGCCUCUUUUUCCUUUCCCUCAAUUUGGUGGGUUUUCACAUGGUGAGUAGCGUCAACUCCAUACCCAAGCAAUUCAGAAAUACAGCUAAAAUUUUCCGGCAUCAGAAAUUUUCUUGACAGGGCCAUUGCAAAGAACAGAAGUCAGGACUUUCGGCUUUUGUAAUGGGGUCUGGUGGGGUGUUUAGAAAAGUUAAGGCUUGAAGGCAGAUUUCAAGAGUGGUUUAAGUAAUCUGAAAUCGCAUUGUUGUGCCAACCCUAUUUUAGGGUUAAAUCAAGACUUGCCCCAGAGUUUAUGCUUAAUUGAGGCUUUUUCGCUUUCAUUUUCUUUCUUCUUUUGAUUUUUCGGCCUUCUGCCAUUUUUGAACUUUCACAAAAUUUGCCACAGUUUAUUGUGAACUGAGGUUCUCUUUUCUUCUUUUGUCUUUUGAUUUUGUGGCCUUUCACUUUUUCACUUCUUGAAAUUUUCCUUUUCAACUCAAACUUGCCCCAGUGUGGGGUUUGCGAUUCUCAGGGGUUGAAAAAUGAAGUAUUUUAUUCUGAAGGCUCAAAAGGGAUAACUAGGGAUAGAAUGUUUGAUUGGAAAAAGAAGAUAGCCUGACUUGUAUUCCGUUCCUUACAAUAACUCUGAGAGGAAACUUUCAUUAAUGCGAAAUUUCUGACAUGUAUCUGAAUUAACUGACUAAGGAAGACCCUUGCUCAUUCAUAUCUAUGAAACAUAAGUGAUCCGCCGGACAGAACUUGUCCUUUUUCCUCUUUUCUUUUCUUUUCAAAAUUGAAACCCAGGUAGAAUCAAAUUUCCCCAAUUCGCGGUUCCCUUUCCUUUUUUUUUUCUUUUUUCAAAAUUCCCCAAUCUCCUUCCCCAAAGUGGGAUGCGAUCAUAUGUGCACUCGAAAAGAACCACCAAUUUUUUAGCUCAAAUGAGGAUGCAAGGGAUGAUCAGUGUUUAGGUUGUAGAAAUGACGGCCAAAGCAUCAUUCUUACACUUCAUGACAAUCAACGUAACGCAAUGCUCAUUGAAAAUCCACUCCCUUUUGAUAUUUGAAAAUUUUCCAUGUAGGGUAGUGAUCAUCAAGACGCUUAUUUGAAACGAAAUUAUUCUUUUAAAGGUUCAAACGGGAGAGCAAAUGAUAAACUCUGUAUAGAUAGAGAAAAGAAUGCUCGAAGUAUCAUUCCAAAUUUUCAAAACAAACAAGAAUAAUGCACAUUUUUGCUUUCACUUAGAUGUGAAUUGAAUCGGUUAAACACAAUGGAUAUUUUCAAGCAAAGAUGGCCCCAAUUUGCAAUUUAUCAAUCAGUGUGACUGAUUUUAUUCUGGGGUUAAGUGAAGGAGAAAAGGUAUCUCAUUGGGUCUUUUGAGUGACCGUUCACCCUUUUCUGAGCACUCUUAUUGUAUAGCUCGGAUCACCAACCUAGUGUACAUGAGGAUUUUAGAGAGUAUACACUUGCGAAAUUCAGGCUAUAGGUUGAAAAAAAAAAUCUCAAUUUGGUCUUAUUUCUCAAAAUUCAUCAUGAAAUCUCUAAUGAGUAAGAAUAAAGAAUGAAAUGUACAUAUACACAAGACAAUAAUUGUCCAAAAAUUUUAUUGCUGAAAAAGUUUGAAACAAAAAUUCCUGUUCAAUUACAAUACAAAUGAGAAGAGAGAAACUUUUAAAGAGCUCCACAUAUACACUUUUUGUCUCCUUUUCUUUUGGAACAAAAUGUAUUAACAAAUCAAAUAUACAAAAUCUUCUUUUGAAAAACAAUUACAACAUCUCUCAGAGGCUUUAGCGUAGAGCUUCCAGAUAGAUCAUUUAUGUUUUCAUUAUAGGAUCUGCCCAAAAAUCACACAAUACUUGCAAUUUUGACACUUUAUUAGAUCGGAAGUGCCAUCAGAUAUAGAAAAAUAUUUUCCCUUUAUUGAAGUAUUUUUAUGAAUGCAGGGAAGGGGGAAAACAAAAGAAAAAUACCCAGAGUUAGUAAGCAAGAUUAUAAAAUCGGUAUGCAUGUCCUAUGGGGGAACCCUUUUAUGCCAAGGGUAGGCCUAGCAUGAAAAUGCAAUCCUCUAGGGUAGGCACUAUACCAUACCUGACGGAUCUGAUCAACUCAUUGAGUGAAAAAUAAUUUUGAAAAAUUUGGUCAACUGGAGUGACGAGAGACAUAUGUCAAAAUGAGGUCAAUGUUCGAAUGGAUUGAUCACUUUUGAUCGAUACAAGAAUUUGCAAAAACGCACGGGUUUGACCUUAACGAACUUCGUAUCGAAGAGAUUAGAAUUCGUUGAAAAUUUUUUUUUCAGUGAAGCACGAGUCAAAACCCCAACUGAUCAAAUGGCUGGAUGCAAUGAAUGGUUUUCUCAAAAUCGACUAGGUUUCCCAAUUUGAAAUUGACAUUGAAAUCCUAAUUGUUUAAAUGGGUUGAAUGAAAUUGACCAUUUAUUUAAAAUCGACCGGAUUACCCUAAAAAGGGAAGCGGGUCAAAUGAAUUGAGUGAAAUUUAAAACUUACUCAAAAUUGACCGAAUCAUCCUAAAAAAGGAACUUGAUCGAAUGAAUUGAAUGAAAUUGAGAAUUUUAUUCAAAAUUGACCGGAUUGUCCUAAAAAAUGAAAUUGAUUAAAUGAAUUGAAUGAAAUCGAGAAUUUAUUCAAAAUUGACCAGAUCGCCCUAAAAGGGUAAACUGGUCAAAUGAAUCAGACGAAAUUGAUAAUUUAUCGAAAAUCGACAAAAUUGCCCUAACUAAUCAAAUAAAUUGAAUGAAAUUGGUGAUUUAUUCAAAAGUCAACUAGAUUGCCCUAAAAUGGAUAAACUAGUCAAAUGAAUUCAAAAUCGACUAGGUUGCCCUAAAAAUGAACAAAUUGAUAAAAUGAACUAGAUGAAAUUGAGGAAUCAAAUGAUCCAAUGGAUUGAAUGGCUUGAUGCAUUAGUCUAUGAGCCUUCUAAAAUCAAAUUUUGGCCUCAGUUUAUUUAUCGUCUCAAUAGGAGGAAUUAUUUGUUAAUUUCUUCAAAUUAAUGUCCUUUAAGCAAUGGAUUUUUACCAAUUUUUGAUAAAAUGGCCAAAAAAAAAAUGAUUAUUAGAGGCUCAUAUUCCAAAAAUCGCUCUAUGAAAAUGGUCGGAUCCUACCUUACCUUGUGCACUACCCCUUUGGAUGGUACAAAAUGUAAACGUGCAAGUCUCCUUGGAUUAAGUAUCCGAGACACAAGGUGGUUUAUUUCUAACACGGGAUCCCUUAAAUGGCAUUCCCUUUCUAGGGUUAUGCAUGAUGCCAUUUUAUUAAAGCAGUAAAACAUGCAAUUUGAAAUGAAAUCAUGACCUAAAAGGACCUUUUAUACGCCAAGGUAGGCUUAGAAUGCUAUGCAAUUAUUAAUCUAUGAAUGCAAUACACCAAAAUCUUUAAACGUGCAAUAACCUAUCUACGAGGGUAGGUUCUAAAAGAAGGUCAUGCCAGACCUCUUAUUUGCUAGGGUUUGUGAAUGCAAUGGGGACACAAAACCAAGAAAAGUUAGUUCAGCCAGAUAAAUACACAUAACACAUUGUAGCAACGAGAUAAAGCAAUAAAAUCAAUACAAAGCAAUUAAAAGGGAAAAAGGGGUUGGAUCCCUCCCCUCGUGAAUAGUGUCCCUAAUAGGGUAAGGCCGACUCUAUCCUAAGGCAAUUCUAAUAUGGAUGCAUGAGGUUGGGCUUACUAAUGCAUCUAGACUCGAUAGGUCAUAGGUCCCCGAGCCUUCACACUUGGAAACCAAGGGUCAUCAAUCCCAAGGUUCUUUGUCGGUGGCUCGAGCGAUUCCCCAAACACCGCUACGUACACAUCAUGUCACGGCUACGUGUUUGAGUGAAUCUAUCAAAAUCCCCAACCUUCGACUAAAAGCUAAAGGCUAUCAACCCAUAGCUUAAAGCGGAAGAUUGAGUGACCCAUUGGAUCAUGCUACACACACAUCGUGUCGUGAUCACAUGUCCAAGUGGGUCGCCUAAAAUCCUAACAGGGUGGAGUGGCGUGACAAGCCACUAAAAGAAAAAAUAAAUGGGGGGUGAAAAAAAUUAAAGCGUAUGCACGUAUGCUAGUGCUCGUUUGGAGGGGAGGGAUCAAGAACCAACGCGAGGCUCUAGGGUGAUGUCCCCCACCCAAAUGCAAUGCAAGCGCGAGAUAAACAAGUAAACAUACAUCCCAUCAACCAAACAUACAUUCGUGAGCGAGGGAGUAGUUUGAGACGUGCGCGAGUCAAAAGGUCCUAAAAAGGAAAAAUGCAACUCUAAUAUCCACAUGCCAUGCAUAAAAAAGGGUAGAAAAAGGAAACUAAUGGCUAAGUCAAAUGCUUGGACCCACUUAGGAUGUCCCCAGUGGAGUCGCCAAGUUGUCGCGCCCCACUUUUUGAUAUGGUGUGUGGAAGUGUGUGUGGUGUGUGUGAACGUGUGUAGAAGUGAAAGAAAAGACCGUGGGAUUGUGAAAUGCGACGGUUUUGGUCAAGUAAAGUUCAAAAGGGUUUUUUUGUAUGAAAAAUGGAGUCGCCACUUGGUAUAGAGUUAGGGUGUACCAAGUCACUCAAAAAUGAUUUUUUAGUUUUUGAAUGAAAAAAGUAAACAAACCCUUUUUGAAAACUUUUAGGUCUACGUAACCAAAGAAAGGGAUCGGGGGUCACAUUUGGUAAGGGAGAAGGUAAAGGCGGAGCCUAAGGCACUCCCUUACCCUAGCCAAAGCUAGUUGCGUGACUUAGCCCCACGUUUUCUACUUUUCUACCCAAGGUAUGUAUCGCAUAUUGGAUAUGACUAUAUGAAUGCAAAACCUAGACCUAGGGGGACAUGGGGGGUAAAAUUUCUCUCCAAAACUUGAGUGAUGCCAAUCACAUUAAUUGUGAAGCCCAAUAAUGAUUCUUUGGAGAGGUCACACAUAAUCCUAAAUGACGUAAAAAUGAGUGGAAUGCAUGCCAUGUGAAAAUGUGAGUUUGUGUGAAGUGAGAAAAGCAAUAAAAAUAAUAGUGGGUAAGUGGAGGUGUGCCAAUGUAUUUACAAGGUAAGGUGAGUAAAGAAUGAUGGUGUGAAAAUAACAUAAAGUGCAUGUGUGCGAGUGAUAUGGUAUAAAGUGUGAGUAGUUAAGUGAAAACGUCCAAAAGUAGUGUGAAGUGAGAAUGUGGAAAAAGAGAUAGAAUAUAAAGUAGAAGUGUAUAGGAUAGCGAAUAAAUGAAAUGCAUGAGCCCUAGAGGAAUGCAAGCAAAAGGGGUACGGGGACUCCUAACUUUGUGACUUUAAUUUUCCCUUUGAUUAGAAAGGAGAACUAGCGUGCUAAGGCUAUUUUGUAGCCAAACUCGCUCGUUUUCCUUAUCGAAAGGGGACUCGUCAAGCAAAUGUACCCUAUAACUAGCAUGAGAAUGCAAAAAGCCUAAAAUGAGGGGAAAAGGAUUGGAAGAGCAUGCCAAAUGAUAAAAACUAAGAAAAAUGCAUGAAAUGUAGUGAACAUGCAAAUAUGCACUAACAAAAGGGGGACGCCCUAUUGGGUCUAGCGUUAGACUAGCCCAUUCUAUGAAUUCCUACUAGCGUUGGACUAGUGGAAACGUACAUUCAUCCAUCACAUUCAUUCAUGGCUAUGGAAAGCGAGUAGACAUGCCAAACACUCGUAAACACGUAGCACAUAACACUUAGCAUGCUCGACUAGAUGCAAAAGCCUAAUAAAGCAAAUUAACACAUAGCCACAAAAGCAAGCAAUCAAACUAAUGGACCUAUUACAUUUGCUAGCUAGGCACACGUCUUCAAUAGGUCUUCAUCAAGUGCUUUCCAAGCCCUAUCUAUUACAAGCCAAGAGGUGUACACAUACCCCAUACAGAAUAACUUAAAUAAAAAGCAAAAGUAAAUGAAGUAAAUGAAAGGAAUUAAAGAAAAACAAGAGAAGCAAGUAGACAUGCAAUUUUCACGUAGCACGUUGGAUCACAUAGGAGAGACAAAAAAAGAUAAAAGAAGUUAUACCUCCCUUGAGUUGGAGCUCCAAUGGGGUGAAGUCACUUAUUUAUCCUCCAAAAUAAAAGAAAUGGUCAAGGUACCAAUUUAUUUGGGAAAAUUAAAGAAAAUGUGCAAAACAAAGCUCACUUGAUCGUAAAGCCUCUAAAGUCAUGGCUUAAGUACAAUUGACAAAGCACGGUAGUUAAUUGAAGCAAAGCAGGCAAUGAAAUUGCAAAAAACUAAAGCUGCCAAGGACCAAAUUGAGGACAUUAUUCAAUUGGUUGGGUCAUAGUGGCAUAAGGGAAAACUUGAGGGGCUGAAGUGCAAUUUUUCAGAAUUAUUUCAUGCAUGCACGAAGAACUUUCUUCAUUUCUGGUUGCUAUGUUUCUGCAAAUACUUCUCACCGAUCACCCAAACAUCUUAAACAAGGCUUCAAACUCGACAUUUAUUAGUUUCCUUAAGGCCAUCAUCAUGCACAAAAACUAGUCAUGCAAAAUGAAAUGAAACAUGGCAGAAAGUAGCCAUAGGAUCAGAUUUCUUGCUGCAAGUUUCUGCAACUAACUAGCUGCAAUUUUCUCAUAACUUGCAACUCUAACAAGCAAAGCCAUCCAAAUCCUCUAACAUGAUUUGCCAAAAACAUCAACCAAAUAUCAUUGUUUACCCCAAGAAUCAAACAGAGGUUGGGUAUGAAAUCAGCACAAGAAAAUGAACUUGGAGCAUUGAACAUAGCUGCAACAAAAACUGCAGCAGUAGAUUUGAACAAGCCAAAAGUUUCGAACAUAGCUGCAAUUGUUGUAUUCAGUCUAAUGCAAUCCUUUUUGCUCAAAUGAGGUCACGGUUGGCCCCAAAAUUGGAUAAAAAAACAGAAAUAUCAACUCAAUCAACAAACAGAGCAGUAAUCUUUCACCAAACAAUUGUAAUGAAGAAACAUAUGCAGCCUACCAAGAAAUUGUGAUACAAAAACCAGAGAUUUCAGGCGUCCAUACUUAAGAGAAAAGACUGAAAUUUAAAGGUACAGGACAGCUUACGAAACUCUUGCUCGAUAAAAAUUCGCAGUUGAUGACGGGUUUGGUGCGGUGGAGGCUCCUUUCGUUUGGCCUCCUUCAUCCAGCGAGCACGAGACCUUGAGUGAAUCUUGGAAGGCUUCCUGAUGAUGAACCCGUCCUUGACCAGCUUUCUUGUGUUUUGACGAAAAUUAGUCAUAGAGAUUUUGUUGACUCCAUUGGCUAGCCAGACCUUGCCUCUGCCGCACUGGAGGAUGUUGGCGGCGAGUCAUUUCUGAAAUUUCAGCGACACCAUCCCUUCGUCCAUCGGUCCGUUUCCUCUUCCUCUGGUUUUUCCUCAAACCCAGAUUUCGUGCUCCUCCAGUGAAGGCUUGCUGCAAUUUCUGGGUUGGCACAUCAGUCGCGUGGCUGGCAAAGCUUUCGACAAUAAUGGUGCUGAUGAAUGCUUGUCCGUGGUUUUCCUUCCUAGCCUGUAGACUCUAUCUCUCUCUCUCCCUCCAUUUUUCCGCAGCUUCCUUGAAGUUCUUCCCAAAACCUAGCCGCCCUCUCUUUCUACUUACUCUCCUGAAGGUCCUCUCACUUUGCACUCCAGCAUCCAAUUACCUUGCUUCUCAAGCCCUCCAUUCACUCUUCUCUCGACCGUCCCCCCCUCAGCAGUUGUCACCCAAAAACUCCUCCUCUCCAAGAUCGAAGCUUUCUUCAAGUUUCCUCCCGAGACCUAGCCUUCCCUCCAGAGUUUAGUGUCGCCACCCUUCUCUUCUCUGUUUGCUGUUCAAGAACCUCUCUUUUCUCAGCCUUCAAGCUCUCGUCCACUCUCGGCUCUCUCUCUUUCUGGUUUCUGGUUCCUUAGUCGUCAAAAAUUCUCUCUCCUUAGCUCUCAAAACCCCAGCCGCUGUUUUCUCUCCUCUCCUCAUUUUCAGCCGUCAUCGUUUCUUUUUAUAUGGGAACCACAGGUUCCCAAAACCCUACCCACGAUGAUUUGGAUGAUGCCAGAUGGUUUGUCCUAAUCCCACGAACCGAGCCAACCCAAGGUAAAAAUGAGAAAUGCGGCUGCCAUCCCUUCCUCCUGCGGCCGAAACCAAAACGUGGACUUUUCCUUUUUUUUUUCUUUUUUUUUCAAGUUAAUUAAACAAAAAUGAAAAUAAUAUAAAGUAAAGAAAAACAACAAUUUGACUAACAUCGGACAAAAAUAAAUAAACUAGAAAUAAAAGACAACAAAGUUGCGAUUUUUCAAUUUCUUUUCUUUUCUUCAUUUUUUAUUUUUAAAUAAUAAAACUAAAUCUAAAAACAACUAAAACAUAUAUUUUUGAAUGCUUUUCCUUUUUUUCUUUUUUUACUUUUUUUUUCCGAGAAAUUCUAUGCUAAAAAACUUAAAAAUAAAAUAAAAACUAAAAACUAAAAACUAAAAAGUGAAUAAACCUAACACGACAAACAAAAACUAAAAAAAAAAGUAAAUGAAAUUACACUAAAAAUUUGGUGUCUACAGUUUGCCCCUCUUUUUCUGAAUUUUGAAAAAACUUGAGACAAAAAAGUAGACACCAAAUACUUACCUGUAAACUGGCUGCAAAUUAUUCGAGGGACUGACGCUUUUGAAAAUGAGGACUGACCUCCUUUAAAAUGUUGAGAAAUGGGAUUGACCCAAACAAAAAUUUAAACGGGACUGACCCGAACUGGAAUUUAAACGGGACUGACCCGAACAGGAAUUUAAACGGGACUGACCCGAACAGAAAUUUAAAAUCAUGGGAUUGACCCGAACAAAAUUUAAAAUCAUGGGACGCACGUUACUGGGACUGACCCACGGCUAGCGGCGGGGUAAAUGAAAUGCUCACUGGCGGGACUCACCUCACGCUCCAGCGGCUGUGAAAAUGAAAUGCUCACUGGCGGGACUAACCUCACGCUCCAGUGGCUGUGAAAAUGGCGGGACUAACCUCACGCUCCAGUGGCUGUGAAAAUGAGCACAACUGAAAUGCUCACUGGCGGGACUAACCUCACGCUCCAGUGGCUGUGAAAAUGAAAUGCUCACUGGCGGGACUAACCUCACGCUCCAGUGGCUAUGAAAAUGAAAUGCUUACUGGCGGGACAAACCCAGCUCCAGUGAAAAUAAAAUGCUUACUGGCGGGACAAACUUAGCUCCAAUAGCAAUGAAAAUAAAAUGCUUACUGGCGGGACAAACCCAGCUCCAAUAGCAAUGAAAAUAAAAUGCCUUGACAAUCGGACAGUGGGAUCAAACCCGAGCCUGCCGUGAUGAACUUGAUUUGAUUUUUGAUUUUUUUGAUUUUUUUGAUUUUUGAUUUUUGAUUUUUUGAUUUUUGAUUUUUUUGAUUUUUUGAUUUUUUAAUUUUUCCUGACUGAGAGAGACUUGUCGAAAUAAUUUGCCCCAGUAUGAUGAAUUGGUCAGUGGGAUUAAACCCGAGCUUGCCUUGAGAAUCGGAAAUAGAAAGGCACGUUAGUGGGAUGAACCCCAUGCUAACGGAGAUAGACUAAAAAACAACACACACGUUAGCGAGAUAGACUCGAUGCUAACGGUGGUGGAAUGAAAACGCACGCGUUAGUGAGAUAGACUCGAUGCUAACGGUGGUGAAGAUAAACGCACGCGUUAGUGAGAUAGACUCGAUGCUAACGGUGGUAGAAUGAAAAACGCACGCGUUAGUGAGAUAGACUCGAUGCUAACGGUGGUAGAAUGAAAACGCACGCGUUAGUGAGAUAGACUCGAUGCUAACGGUGGUAGUGAGAUAGACUCGAUGCUAACGGUGGUAGGGUGAAACGCACACGUUAGUGAGAUAGACUCGAUGCUAACGGUGGUUAAAGUUAGUGAAUUAAAAGUGGUUGUCAAGAAUAGGGAAAUGGAAGGGUGCGCGGCGGGCGUUGAGACUCGCCAACAAGAAAUUAAAAUCUGACAUUGAAAAUGAUUUUUAUUUUUCCCGUUUUUUCCUUUUCGUUUGGGAGAAACUUUUCAAGAAAUAAUUUUGCCCCAAUCUCCACCACUUAUUGUGCAACCGAUCAUUUGAUUUGCAUUAUGGCAGGGCUGCUCCUCCUUGAGGCCUUGAUUCGUAAGAUUUUGACUUACGCUCCUUCGUCGAUUUCAACCAUGGAUACCUGCACAGGGGCUUACCAAAGUAUGAUAUGCACUUGAAUUUCAAAAUAUUGCAACUACUAUUCAUAGAAAGAUCAGUGUGAUUGAAAUGGACUAUAAAAAAUUUGCCCCAGUGUGGGUUUAUUUUGCGAAAUCUUGCAAAUAAAAAUUUUGCCCCAGUGUGGGCCCAUUUGAUUGCAAAAAUUGAUUUGGAUGACUCUCCAAUUAUUUGAACAAAGUAAGCAAUUGCUUUUCCUAACAUAUCAUGUGAAAAAAUUGAAUGUCUUGCUUAAACUCAUAUAACAAAUUUCAUGAUGAAUUUCUCAAAAUAAUGCCAAAUUACGAAAGAUUUCUUCCCCACUUUAGCAUCAAUGCUUUGGGUGAUGGGUCACCAUUUCUGGUUGGUUCAUCUUUCAGGACCAAUCAAGUGACUUUAUUUUUGAUUUUGAGGUGGCUAAGGAAAUGGGAGGUCAGAAUCUGUCUCAUUCUUGCGCCCAAAUCAUAUCUAACCCAUUCAAUAUCACAUCUUAGUGAAAGCAAAGAGUUUGUCACCCUUAUUUCUUAAGAAAACUUAGUCAACACAUAAGCUUUAAGCUUGCAACAAAUGGGUAGGAACGAUAGCUAAACAUGCGAAAACUGGUUAUACCCUUAUGAUCACAAAUGAUUGAUGGAUUUUCUUAUGAGCAUAAUCCUCACUUUGGGUUGUCAUGAAGGAAUAAGUCAACGAUGGACUUUAUUAGCUUGUAAUGUGGUUUGAAACGAUAGUUAAAGAAUAAGACUUUCAGGGAUAUUGCACCAAAAAUCGCAUUUUUCCAAAAUUGCCCCUAUUUUGAACUCAAAAGAUUUCAGACUUUGUUUGGAUUUUCUCAUCAUUCCCCAGGGACUUCAGCGUCGAAUUUUUCUGCAUCUUCUUGCAUUUACUUUUCUUGCUUUGCUUUUUGCCUCUUUUUCCUUUCCCUCAAUUUGGUGGGUUUUCACAUGGUGAGUAGCGUCAACUCCAUACCCAAGCAAUUCAGAAAUACAGCUAAAAUUUUCCGGCAUCAGAAAUUUUCUUGACAGGGCCAUUGCAAAGAACAGAAGUCAGGACUUUCGGCUUUUGUAAUGGGGUCUGGUGGGGUGUUUAGAAAAGUUAAGGCUUGAAGGCAGAUUUCAAGAGUGGUUUAAGUAAUCUGAAAUCGCAUUGUUGUGCCAACCCUAUUUUAGGGUUAAAUCAAGACUUGCCCCAGAGUUUAUGCUUAAUUGAGGCUUUUUCGCUUUCAUUUUCUUUCUUCUUUUGAUUUUUCGGCCUUCUGCCAUUUUUGAACUUUCACAAAAUUUGCCACAGUUUAUUGUGAACUGAGGUUCUCUUUUCUUCUUUUGUCUUUUGAUUUUGUGGCCUUUCACUUUUUCACUUCUUGAAAUUUUCCUUUUCAACUCAAACUUGCCCCAGUGUGGGGUUUGCGAUUCUCAGGGGUUGAAAAAUGAAGUAUUUUAUUCUGAAGGCUCAAAAGGGAUAACUAGGGAUAGAAUGUUUGAUUGGAAAAAGAAGAUAGCCUGACUUGUAUUCCGUUCCUUACAAUAACUCUGAGAGGAAACUUUCAUUAAUGCGAAAUUUCUGACAUGUAUCUGAAUUAACUGACUAAGGAAGACCCUUGCUCAUUCAUAUCUAUGAAACAUAAGUGAUCCGCCGGACAGAACUUGUCCUUUUUCCUCUUUUCUUUUCUUUUCAAAAUUGAAACCCAGGUAGAAUCAAAUUUCCCCAAUUCGCGGUUCCCUUUCCUUUUUUUUUUCUUUUUUCAAAAUUCCCCAAUCUCCUUCCCCAAAGUGGGAUGCGAUCAUAUGUGCACUCGAAAAGAACCACCAAUUUUUUAGCUCAAAUGAGGAUGCAAGGGAUGAUCAGUGUUUAGGUUGUAGAAAUGACGGCCAAAGCAUCAUUCUUACACUUCAUGACAAUCAACGUAACGCAAUGCUCAUUGAAAAUCCACUCCCUUUUGAUAUUUGAAAAUUUUCCAUGUAGGGUAGUGAUCAUCAAGACGCUUAUUUGAAACGAAAUUAUUCUUUUAAAGGUUCAAACGGGAGAGCAAAUGAUAAACUCUGUAUAGAUAGAGAAAAGAAUGCUCGAAGUAUCAUUCCAAAUUUUCAAAACAAACAAGAAUAAUGCACAUUUUUGCUUUCACUUAGAUGUGAAUUGAAUCGGUUAAACACAAUGGAUAUUUUCAAGCAAAGAUGGCCCCAAUUUGCAAUUUAUCAAUCAGUGUGACUGAUUUUAUUCUGGGGUUAAGUGAAGGAGAAAAGGUAUCUCAUUGGGUCUUUUGAGUGACCGUUCACCCUUUUCUGAGCACUCUUAUUGUAUAGCUCGGAUCACCAACCUAGUGUACAUGAGGAUUUUAGAGAGUAUACACUUGCGAAAUUCAGGCUAUAGGUUGAAAAAAAAAAUCUCAAUUUGGUCUUAUUUCUCAAAAUUCAUCAUGAAAUCUCUAAUGAGUAAGAAUAAAGAAUGAAAUGUACAUAUACACAAGACAAUAAUUGUCCAAAAAUUUUAUUGCUGAAAAAGUUUGAAACAAAAAUUCCUGUUCAAUUACAAUACAAAUGAGAAGAGAGAAACUUUUAAAGAGCUCCACAUAUACACUUUUUGUCUCCUUUUCUUUUGGAACAAAAUGUAUUAACAAAUCAAAUAUACAAAAUCUUCUUUUGAAAAACAAUUACAACAUCUCUCAGAGGCUUUAGCGUAGAGCUUCCAGAUAGAUCAUUUAUGUUUUCAUUAUAGGAUCUGCCCAAAAAUCACACAAUACUUGCAAUUUUGACACUUUAUUAGAUCGGAAGUGCCAUCAGAUAUAGAAAAAUAUUUUCCCUUUAUUGAAGUAUUUUUAUGAAUGCAGGGAAGGGGGAAAACAAAAGAAAAAUACCCAGAGUUAGUAAGCAAGAUUAUAAAAUCGGUAUGCAUGUCCUAUGGGGGAACCCUUUUAUGCCAAGGGUAGGCCUAGCAUGAAAAUGCAAUCCUCUAGGGUAGGCACUAUACCAUACCUGACGGAUCUGAUCAACUCAUUGAGUGAAAAAUAAUUUUGAAAAAUUUGGUCAACUGGAGUGACGAGAGACAUAUGUCAAAAUGAGGUCAAUGUUCGAAUGGAUUGAUCACUUUUGAUCGAUACAAGAAUUUGCAAAAACGCACGGGUUUGACCUUAACGAACUUCGUAUCGAAGAGAUUAGAAUUCGUUGAAAAUUUUUUUUUCAGUGAAGCACGAGUCAAAACCCCAACUGAUCAAAUGGCUGGAUGCAAUGAAUGGUUUUCUCAAAAUCGACUAGGUUUCCCAAUUUGAAAUUGACAUUGAAAUCCUAAUUGUUUAAAUGGGUUGAAUGAAAUUGACCAUUUAUUUAAAAUCGACCGGAUUACCCUAAAAAGGGAAGCGGGUCAAAUGAAUUGAGUGAAAUUUAAAACUUACUCAAAAUUGACCGAAUCAUCCUAAAAAAGGAACUUGAUCGAAUGAAUUGAAUGAAAUUGAGAAUUUUAUUCAAAAUUGACCGGAUUGUCCUAAAAAAUGAAAUUGAUUAAAUGAAUUGAAUGAAAUCGAGAAUUUAUUCAAAAUUGACCAGAUCGCCCUAAAAGGGUAAACUGGUCAAAUGAAUCAGACGAAAUUGAUAAUUUAUCGAAAAUCGACAAAAUUGCCCUAACUAAUCAAAUAAAUUGAAUGAAAUUGGUGAUUUAUUCAAAAGUCAACUAGAUUGCCCUAAAAUGGAUAAACUAGUCAAAUGAAUUCAAAAUCGACUAGGUUGCCCUAAAAAUGAACAAAUUGAUAAAAUGAACUAGAUGAAAUUGAGGAAUCAAAUGAUCCAAUGGAUUGAAUGGCUUGAUGCAUUAGUCUAUGAGCCUUCUAAAAUCAAAUUUUGGCCUCAGUUUAUUUAUCGUCUCAAUAGGAGGAAUUAUUUGUUAAUUUCUUCAAAUUAAUGUCCUUUAAGCAAUGGAUUUUUACCAAUUUUUGAUAAAAUGGCCAAAAAAAAAAUGAUUAUUAGAGGCUCAUAUUCCAAAAAUCGCUCUAUGAAAAUGGUCGGAUCCUACCUUACCUUGUGCACUACCCCUUUGGAUGGUACAAAAUGUAAACGUGCAAGUCUCCUUGGAUUAAGUAUCCGAGACACAAGGUGGUUUAUUUCUAACACGGGAUCCCUUAAAUGGCAUUCCCUUUCUAGGGUUAUGCAUGAUGCCAUUUUAUUAAAGCAGUAAAACAUGCAAUUUGAAAUGAAAUCAUGACCUAAAAGGACCUUUUAUACGCCAAGGUAGGCUUAGAAUGCUAUGCAAUUAUUAAUCUAUGAAUGCAAUACACCAAAAUCUUUAAACGUGCAAUAACCUAUCUACGAGGGUAGGUUCUAAAAGAAGGUCAUGCCAGACCUCUUAUUUGCUAGGGUUUGUGAAUGCAAUGGGGACACAAAACCAAGAAAAGUUAGUUCAGCCAGAUAAAUACACAUAACACAUUGUAGCAACGAGAUAAAGCAAUAAAAUCAAUACAAAGCAAUUAAAAGGGAAAAAGGGGUUGGAUCCCUCCCCUCGUGAAUAGUGUCCCUAAUAGGGUAAGGCCGACUCUAUCCUAAGGCAAUUCUAAUAUGGAUGCAUGAGGUUGGGCUUACUAAUGCAUCUAGACUCGAUAGGUCAUAGGUCCCCGAGCCUUCACACUUGGAAACCAAGGGUCAUCAAUCCCAAGGUUCUUUGUCGGUGGCUCGAGCGAUUCCCCAAACACCGCUACGUACACAUCAUGUCACGGCUACGUGUUUGAGUGAAUCUAUCAAAAUCCCCAACCUUCGACUAAAAGCUAAAGGCUAUCAACCCAUAGCUUAAAGCGGAAGAUUGAGUGACCCAUUGGAUCAUGCUACACACACAUCGUGUCGUGAUCACAUGUCCAAGUGGGUCGCCUAAAAUCCUAACAGGGUGGAGUGGCGUGACAAGCCACUAAAAGAAAAAAUAAAUGGGGGGUGAAAAAAAUUAAAGCGUAUGCACGUAUGCUAGUGCUCGUUUGGAGGGGAGGGAUCAAGAACCAACGCGAGGCUCUAGGGUGAUGUCCCCCACCCAAAUGCAAUGCAAGCGCGAGAUAAACAAGUAAACAUACAUCCCAUCAACCAAACAUACAUUCGUGAGCGAGGGAGUAGUUUGAGACGUGCGCGAGUCAAAAGGUCCUAAAAAGGAAAAAUGCAACUCUAAUAUCCACAUGCCAUGCAUAAAAAAGGGUAGAAAAAGGAAACUAAUGGCUAAGUCAAAUGCUUGGACCCACUUAGGAUGUCCCCAGUGGAGUCGCCAAGUUGUCGCGCCCCACUUUUUGAUAUGGUGUGUGGAAGUGUGUGUGGUGUGUGUGAACGUGUGUAGAAGUGAAAGAAAAGACCGUGGGAUUGUGAAAUGCGACGGUUUUGGUCAAGUAAAGUUCAAAAGGGUUUUUUUGUAUGAAAAAUGGAGUCGCCACUUGGUAUAGAGUUAGGGUGUACCAAGUCACUCAAAAAUGAUUUUUUAGUUUUUGAAUGAAAAAAGUAAACAAACCCUUUUUGAAAACUUUUAGGUCUACGUAACCAAAGAAAGGGAUCGGGGGUCACAUUUGGUAAGGGAGAAGGUAAAGGCGGAGCCUAAGGCACUCCCUUACCCUAGCCAAAGCUAGUUGCGUGACUUAGCCCCACGUUUUCUACUUUUCUACCCAAGGUAUGUAUCGCAUAUUGGAUAUGACUAUAUGAAUGCAAAACCUAGACCUAGGGGGACAUGGGGGGUAAAAUUUCUCUCCAAAACUUGAGUGAUGCCAAUCACAUUAAUUGUGAAGCCCAAUAAUGAUUCUUUGGAGAGGUCACACAUAAUCCUAAAUGACGUAAAAAUGAGUGGAAUGCAUGCCAUGUGAAAAUGUGAGUUUGUGUGAAGUGAGAAAAGCAAUAAAAAUAAUAGUGGGUAAGUGGAGGUGUGCCAAUGUAUUUACAAGGUAAGGUGAGUAAAGAAUGAUGGUGUGAAAAUAACAUAAAGUGCAUGUGUGCGAGUGAUAUGGUAUAAAGUGUGAGUAGUUAAGUGAAAACGUCCAAAAGUAGUGUGAAGUGAGAAUGUGGAAAAAGAGAUAGAAUAUAAAGUAGAAGUGUAUAGGAUAGCGAAUAAAUGAAAUGCAUGAGCCCUAGAGGAAUGCAAGCAAAAGGGGUACGGGGACUCCUAACUUUGUGACUUUAAUUUUCCCUUUGAUUAGAAAGGAGAACUAGCGUGCUAAGGCUAUUUUGUAGCCAAACUCGCUCGUUUUCCUUAUCGAAAGGGGACUCGUCAAGCAAAUGUACCCUAUAACUAGCAUGAGAAUGCAAAAAGCCUAAAAUGAGGGGAAAAGGAUUGGAAGAGCAUGCCAAAUGAUAAAAACUAAGAAAAAUGCAUGAAAUGUAGUGAACAUGCAAAUAUGCACUAACAAAAGGGGGACGCCCUAUUGGGUCUAGCGUUAGACUAGCCCAUUCUAUGAAUUCCUACUAGCGUUGGACUAGUGGAAACGUACAUUCAUCCAUCACAUUCAUUCAUGGCUAUGGAAAGCGAGUAGACAUGCCAAACACUCGUAAACACGUAGCACAUAACACUUAGCAUGCUCGACUAGAUGCAAAAGCCUAAUAAAGCAAAUUAACACAUAGCCACAAAAGCAAGCAAUCAAACUAAUGGACCUAUUACAUUUGCUAGCUAGGCACACGUCUUCAAUAGGUCUUCAUCAAGUGCUUUCCAAGCCCUAUCUAUUACAAGCCAAGAGGUGUACACAUACCCCAUACAGAAUAACUUAAAUAAAAAGCAAAAGUAAAUGAAGUAAAUGAAAGGAAUUAAAGAAAAACAAGAGAAGCAAGUAGACAUGCAAUUUUCACGUAGCACGUUGGAUCACAUAGGAGAGACAAAAAAAGAUAAAAGAAGUUAUACCUCCCUUGAGUUGGAGCUCCAAUGGGGUGAAGUCACUUAUUUAUCCUCCAAAAUAAAAGAAAUGGUCAAGGUACCAAUUUAUUUGGGAAAAUUAAAGAAAAUGUGCAAAACAAAGCUCACUUGAUCGUAAAGCCUCUAAAGUCAUGGCUUAAGUACAAUUGACAAAGCACGGUAGUUAAUUGAAGCAAAGCAGGCAAUGAAAUUGCAAAAAACUAAAGCUGCCAAGGACCAAAUUGAGGACAUUAUUCAAUUGGUUGGGUCAUAGUGGCAUAAGGGAAAACUUGAGGGGCUGAAGUGCAAUUUUUCAGAAUUAUUUCAUGCAUGCACGAAGAACUUUCUUCAUUUCUGGUUGCUAUGUUUCUGCAAAUACUUCUCACCGAUCACCCAAACAUCUUAAACAAGGCUUCAAACUCGACAUUUAUUAGUUUCCUUAAGGCCAUCAUCAUGCACAAAAACUAGUCAUGCAAAAUGAAAUGAAACAAAGCAGAAAGUAGCCAUAGGAUCAGAUUUCUUGCUGCAAGUUUCUGCAACUAACUAGCUGCAAUUUUCUCAUAACUUGCAACUCUAACAAGCAAAGCCAUCCAAAUCCUCUAACAUGAUUUGCCAAAAACAUCAACCAAAUAUCAUUGUUUACCCCAAGAAUCAAACAGAGGUUGGGUAUGAAAUCAGCACAAGAAAAUGAACUUGGAGCAUUGAACAUAGCUGCAACAAAAACUGCAGCAGUAGAUUUGAACAAGCCAAAAGUUUCGAACAUAGCUGCAAUUGUUGUAUUCAGUCUAAUGCAAUCCUUUUUGCUCAAAUGAGGUCACGGUUGGCCCCAAAAUUGGAUAAAAAAACAGAAAUAUCAACUCAAUCAACAAACAGAGCAGUAAUCUUUCACCAAACAAUUGUAAUGAAGAAACAUAUGCAGCCUACCAAGAAAUUGUGAUACAAAAACCAGAGAUUUCAGGCGUCCAUACUUAAGAGAAAAGACUGAAAUUUGAAGGUACAGGACAGCUUACGAAACUCUUGCUCGAUAAAAAUUCGCAGUUGAUGGCGGGUUUGGUGCGGUGGAGGCUCCUUUCGUUUGGCCUCCUUCAUCCAGCGAGCACGAGACCUUGAGUGAAUCUUGGAAGGCUUCCUGAUGAUGAACCCGUCCUUGACCAGCUUUCUUGUGUUUUGACGAAAAUUAGUCAUAGAGAUUUUGUUGACUCCAUUGGCUAGCCAGACCUUGCCUCUGCCGCACUGGAGGAUGUUGGCGGCGAGUCAUUCUGAAAUUUCAGCGACACCAUCCCUUCGUCCAUCGGUCCGUUUCCUCUUCCUCUGGUUUUUCCUCAAACCCAGAUUUCGUGCUCCUCCAGUGAAGGCUUGCUGCAAUUUCUGGGUUGGCACAUCAGUCGCGUGGCUGGCAAAGCUUUCGACAAUAAUGGUGCUGAUGAAUGCUUGUCCGUGGUUUUCCUUCCUAGCCUGUAGACUCUAUCUCUCUCUCUCCAUUUUUCCGCAGCUUCCUUGAAGUUCUUCCCAAAACCUAGCCGCCCUCUCUUUCUACUUACUCUCCUGAAGGUCCUCUCACUUUGCACUCCAGCAUCCAAUUACCUUGCUUCUCAAGCCCUCCAUUCACUCUUCUCUCGACCAUCCCCCCCUCAGCAGUUGUCACCCAAAAACUCCUCCUCUCCAAGAUCGAAGCUUUCUUCAAGUUUCCUCCCGAGACCUAGCCUUCCCUCCAGAGUUUAGUGUCGCCACCCUUCUCUUCUCUGUUUGCUGUUCAAGAACCUCUCUUUUCUCAGCCUUCAAGCUCUCGUCCACUCUCGGCUCUCUCUCUUUCUGGUUUCGGUUCCUUAGUCGUCAAAAAUUCUCUCUCCUUAGCUCUCAAAACCCCAGCCGCUGUUUUCUCUCCUCUCCUCAUUUUCAGCCGUCAUCGUUUCUUUUUAUAUAGGAACCUCAGGUUCCCAAAACCCUAUCCACGAUGAUUUGGAUGAUGCCAGAUGGUUUGUCCUAAUCCCACGAACCGAGCCAACCCAAGGCAAAAAUGAGAAAUGCGGCUGCCAUCCCUUCCUCCUGCGGCCGAAACCAAAACGUGGACUUUUCCUUUUCUUUUUUCUUUUUUUUUUCAAGUUAAUUAAACAAAAAUGAAAAUAAUAUAAAGUAAAGAAAAACAACAAUUUGACUAACAUCGAACAAAAAUAAAUAAACUAGAAAUAAAAGACAACAAAGUUGCGAUUUUUCAAUUUCUUUUCUUUUCUUCAUUUUUUAUUUUUAAAUAAUAAAACUAAAUCUAAAAACAACUAAAACAUAUAUUUUUGAAUGCUUUUCCUUUUUUUCUUUUUUUACUUUUUUUUUCCGAGAAAUUCUAUGCUAAAAAACUUAAAAAUAAAAUAAAAACUAAAAAGUGAAUAAACCUAACACGACAAACAAAAACUAAAAAAAAAAGUAAAUGAAAUUACACUAAAAAUUUGGUGUCUACAUAUGGCACUCGAAGCGUGAAUCCAAGGUCGUCCAAGCAGAAUAUUAUAAACACUUGAGAAAUUCAUGACUUGGCACAUGACUUGGAAUUGAGUAGGUCCUAUUUCCAGUACUAAGUCCACUUCUCCCAUUGAUUCUCUUUUUGCGCCAUCAAAUCCCCUCACCACAGUCAUAGACGGCUGAAGUUUAGCUUCUUGAAAUCCCAAUUUAACUAAAGUAUUUCAUGGACAGAUAUUCAAAACAGAUCCAUUGUCUAUCAAAACUCUCGGCAAUAACUUUCCAUUACAACGGACUGAGAUAUACAAUGCCUUGUUAUGUCCAAUCCUCUCAGAAGUUAUAUUUUCAUCAGAAAAAGAAAUCUGAUUUGAAGCCAAAACAUAUUUGACAACAUGGGUGACUUUGUCAACCGAAAUAUUCUUAAGCACUUGAGCCUUAAUUAACAUCUUGAGUAGAGCUUCUCUAUGAAGUUCCGAAGUUAAGAGCAGAUUCAACAUAGAAAUUUGAGCGAGCAUUUUAUCCAAUUGCUCAAUCACUUUAUACUCGAUUUUCUUCAACAUCCUAAGAAAAUUGAAUGCCUUUUCUUCAGUCACAGCUGGUCGGGUUGGCGCGACAUCUUCCUUUGCUUUUGAUGGCUUGUUAACUGCAGGUUCACUUAUGAUUCUUCUAGAUCUAGUGACGGCGACCACCUCCUUCUUUGACAUUUCUUCUUUUCCAAUCAAUAAAAUGGGCUCACUAUAAUUCCAUGGGACUUCUUGUAGGUUAAGAACAUGCGUUUGUGCAAUUCGAGUACCACAAGUUCUGAAGGCUCACAUUCAAAAGGUAUCACAUCUAAAAUAAAAGGAUCAGUAUUUUUCUUGAUCCCAGAGGUUUCUUCUUCCAGUAUGAAUGGUUCUUUAAUGACCCAUAUUAUUUCAGUUUCAUCCACAAUGUAUUGAGUAGAUUCCUCGAUCUCCUCAUUAAUGGUAAUAACUCCCACUGUAUCCUUGUGUGCAGGAAGAGGGUUCUUGCUAAUACUCGAUCCUUGUUCCUCUCUCCUUCUUAAAACUAUGUCUUCGGUCUCAAUUAUGUCUUGAAUUUUAUACUUAAGUGCCCAACAAUUGAUAGUAGAAUGUCCAGGAGCUCCAGAAUGAUAAGUACAAAAAAAUUGAGGAUCAUAACCAAAGGGAAAUUGUCUAGGAUAGACUUUAGGAGGUAUCAUACCAAUUUUUCUUGCGAUUUUGAGCUUUUCAUAAAACUGAUCAAUAGGCCGACCUAAAUUGGUGAAAGUUCUGUAUGGGGUUGGCUUUUGGGAGUCAUUGAUUUGUUAAUAGUUGUAGUUUCGGUUGGCUGGUGAAGCAGAUCUUAGAUUAUAAGGAGGGUGAGGUCUAGUUUGAAAGUUAGGUGGAGAAAUAUGAAAUGGUGCUGUAGGUGUGUUUGGGUAAUUUGGUCGGGGUCGAAAAUGGUUAAUAGUGGUAUGAUAAACAGAUUGAGGGCAUGGAUGGUUUGGGUAAUGAGAUGGAUAUGUGGGAUAUUAUUAGUAUCUAGGUCGGGAAGAAAGGCCUUGGUUCCAAACAAAUGCAGCUUCCCCAUCUUUCUUUUUGAACUGAGGUUUCUUGCUACUGUUGUUUGGAUUUUGCAAAGCUCCUAAUUGCGAUUUCAGAGAUGACAUAUUAGUAAUCUUUCAGGCUUUUACGAACUCGUCAUACUUCUCCAAUUUGUUAACAAUUUUUUCAAAUGAACAUCCAGCCAUGCGAAAAAAUUUCUCAAAAUAGGGCGGGUCAUAAGCUUUGAUAAACGUACGAACAAUUUCUUCUUCAUUCAUAGGAGGUUCCACCUUGGCAGCCAAUUUCCUCCAUCGCUUUGCAUAUGUCUUGUGGUCCUUAGAUGGCUUCCUUUUAGUUCCCUCAAGUGUGGUCCUGAUGUGUGCACGGGUGGCGGGACCUUGAAGGCUUGAAAGAUCUUAGUCAACUUGCCUACACAUGGAUCCAAGCCCACGAGGAGCCAAGUGAUGGUUGUUAGUUUGGUGAUAUGAAUGGCACCAACCGUGUGAUGCAACCCAUACAGACAGGAAAGGAUCUAGAAGGUAGGAUUCACGUUGAUGAACACGAAUGCAGCGGAAUUACCUAAACCCAUUGAUCACGUGGUCAACGAACCUCGGUAUUGGUAGAAGACGCCACAAUCUAGCGUGGUCCGAAAUUGAUAAGUCGAAUUGAAUACCUAAGAACGAUUCUAAGAUAUUCAAUGGUGCUUCAAUGAAGCUUUGAGAGAACUCUCAAGUGUAUUUUUAUUAAUCAUCAAAAACUGAAUGUAAAACAAUGACUUAAGGCUAUUUGUAGCCGUGACUAAGACUUAACAAAGCUUGGGAAACAUGUAGGGAAUUCAGCCAGCCCUUGGGCUUUGCUAUUAGCCGAUGCUAGCCCAACAACAUAUAGACCGUAAGCUCCGGGGGUGUUGCCCCUGAACCCCCACUGGGGCGCGUUGCCCCCUGGACCCCCGACUCGCUGACCGGUCAGCGAGACCACCAAACUAGCUAGCGUAGGGACUAACUGCGUGACUCGCUAAAAUGCUAUUGGCCCUAAGGCCUAGAUGGCCUAGCCCAUUGACUCAAAGACUAACAACGACUAAGGUCCAAACCACAAGCUAUGUUUUUAGACUCGGACCGGGACUCGACUCGGUCGAGGUCAGGAUUCAGUCAACGGGUUCUAUCGGGGUUGAUAGGGGGUCAACCCGGAUGACGUCAUAUAUACAUAUAUAUAUAUAUAUAUAUAUACACCUAAAAAUCAAAUUUACAAAAUAUAACCAAAGAACCCAAUCAUCUAAAUUUAUAUCUCAUUCAUCAAACAAUUCACCAAAUUCAUCCAAACUCACAAAAUUUAUAAAAUAAAAAUCCCAUACAUGUUUAAUCCUUGACAAAUAGCAAUCCAAAUAAGGUAACAAGUUCAUGUUGAAAUGCUUGAUAAAUAUCAAUCUAAAUAAAACAACAUGUUCCAAAGAACUAUCUAAGCCAUUCUUCAUCUUCAUCAUCAUCAUCAUUGCCUCCAAUUUCAUAACUUUCGAAGUCAAUAUCAUCAAGAUCAUCCUCAUCAUCAAGUUGCACAAUAUUGGUGUCUUUCUUAUCUAAAAAUUAUUUAAAUACUCAUAAAUAAAAAUAGACAAAAAUUAAAAAGAAACUUAGAUAAAGUUAGCAAAUAUAAACUUACGUGAUUGAGAGGCUUCAUUUUCGCUAUUUUUGGGAAAUUCUUCUUCAAUUAUUUCUUCUAACUCAUCAUAAUCAAGCUCUCCUUCUUGUUCCUCAUCAACUACCCAAAAUUCAACUUUAUCAAUAGUUUCAUAAUCCACCGGAUCAUAAGACCUCCUUUUAUAUGAAAGCCUAAAAUGAAAAAAAGAGCAGAAAAAAAAAUAAUAAAAGAAGUAAGUAAUUUUAAAAAAUUAAUAAAUUUACAAAAGAAGGUAAACAUUUAUAAUAGUAAUUCCAUACCUAUUCUUCAAACGUAAAUUAUAAUGAAUAUAAACAAGAUCAUUCAACCUUUGAUGCUCAAGUCUAUUUCUCUUUUUGGUAUGGAUGCGUUUAAAUACACUCCAAUUACGUUCACAUCCCGAAGAAGAAGAUGUUUGGCUCAAGAGUUUAAUUGCCAACUUUUGUAAAUGUGGAGCAUCAUUACCAAACAAUUUCCACCACUCAUCUAUAUUAGUAAGACAUAAUUAGUACUCUUUUUUAAAGAAAACCAACAAAAGUAAUUCAUAACAUAAUCAAUGCGAAAUUAAAGUAGGCAUACCUGGACGGGCAGUUUUGUGACAGCCCCACCUUCCCCUAAGGCGAACCAAAGGGGUUAGCGGACUGCCUGCCCAGCUCUCGCCAGGACUAACGGAUCAGUUUACGUCGAUCUACCACGUUCCGGAACACACCCACGCCCGCAAACAAGUCAAAAUCACAAAAUAAAAUAAAAUAAAAUAAAACAAAAAUCGAAGCCGCGGAUGAACAGUGCCGGACACGUCAGAAUCCGGAGUUCAACCCAACAUCAAUCCAACAUAUACAUACAUUGAAAUUCAACAUUUACAACCAAAUGGCAUGCCAAAAACCACUCAUCAUGAAUAUACAUGUUCGGUUUGCCAAUCAAAAGAAAAUGAACCCAAUACACAUUAGGGUUUCAUUCAAAGAGCUAUUCAAAAGAUACAUUUACAUGAGCUCAACUUGACAACCGUCUAACACAACCUUUUCCAAAAGUGGUCAUUUUCCUGUAAGGAAAACAAAUGGAACGGAAUGAGCUUAAGCCCAGUGAGUUACUACCACAUAAGCAACAAAGAGCAUAUAGCAUAACCUUUCAUUUCAAGCACACAAAUAAGGAAUAUAACAAGUUGGUAAAAGGAUACGGACGGCUCUCAAGAGCCCAUUUCCUCGCUUACAUUCUUGAUCCAACCUCAUUGACCCUCCGUCAAUGUUAAAGAGUAACCAACCGUAGACAUCACUUUACUUCCAUCCUUCCAACCAACAUACCCCAACCGGGCCCGCACUCCAAUCAGUCGUUUUUUGUAAUACUCGAGUAUACCGGAAUCAAGAGUCUCAUUACUACAAGAUCCUUCAAUCCAGUCCCCGUGGCAUGUCAAUUUUCACGACCAAUCCCUCGCCGGCUCGAUUCAAUUGACUACCAACGGGGUUGAGCUCAGUAAUACAGUAAGGCCGUUGGAUAAUCGUCCAAACAACACUAAAUCAAUUUUCCAUGAAAGGAAUUCAUUAUCUCAUAUAUCAAGUGCAGUAUUUCCAUAAAACGGUAAACAGUUAUGAAUGGUACCACAAGGGGUGAGGGCAGUCACGUACACCCUCACCUCAAUCAAUUUCAGUAGCCAAAUAAGCCUUCAAGGCAUCAAUUCACAUAUAGCAAAGCCACAUUGUAACAUUUAAGUGAGUAGUAUACUCACCACUCACGUAGGUGAUGUUUCAUGCACCGUCGUUAAAAGAACGUCGUGAACUACCGUCACGCCCUAGAACACGCAAACAAAUACAAUGAGACUCGAUAACGAGUCAUAAAGCAAUGCCAAUCACAACCCCAAUAGGGUUUUAUAAACAUAUACAAGCAUCAUAGGCAACCAGAAAUUUUGGAAAUGUAACUAGCUUUGGCCUUGAAAAAAAACAGUUUUUGUCCUCAUUUUGCGGUAAUGGCACCGAUUUCACUACGAUUAUCGGAUGAGGGUGCAAGACCCACCGUUUCGAAGCUAAAAAACAGGGCUACAACAAUGUAGAAGGUUACUCAGUCCAAUUCCCAGCACAACUAGGUCAAAUAUGCAAAAUACCAAACCAGAACCUUAAUUGCAGGUUUACAAAUUACACUAUGCUGUAAUUAGUCCAACUCAGUCUAUACAAGUUCAAAUUCAUUGAUUCCAAAGGCAUACGGUAGCUAAGACAUCCAGCUACAUUUCAUCAGAAGACCUCAACAACCAAAUCCAAAGCAAUUCCAGCCAAAACCACCAAUUACAGACGCAGUUCUUACAUCCUGAUGAACCCAGAAUAGCAAUAGUAAUUUCGACUUUUCUCAUUCUACACAACUCCAAUUGACCUGAAAUUUUACAGGCACCUUUAAAACAUCAAUACUUACAACUUUCAUGUUUUAAGCCAAGGCUAAUUCGGCCUCUAACCUUGAGAUACAAAACCAGACAGAAUUGGGGAUAUAAAACCCUAACUUUCUCAAAUUCCUUCCAAACCAGAAAAUUGGUUACAAUUAUCUAUCAUAUACACCUACUAGAGUCAUUAAACAUCAUUUCCAACCAUCAUGGAUAGCCACAACAUCAUGAUCAAAUUAAACCAGAAAAAUCACCAAUAAAUUGAAAACUUCACCAAGUCAUCCAAAAGCAAGAAAUAAACUACAAAUUUCAGCACUUUAGCUACCACUAAGCACAACUUAAGCUUCAUUAAGUGUAGGAGGAAGUUCAUUCACCACUCACCUAGUAAACAAGAGAGGAAGAGUUGUUGGACACCUUAGCUUCCUUAAACACUUCACCAAAUCACUUACUAGCACCAAAUGGAGAGAUUUUAUGGAGUAGAAACAAGAUCAAGCAAUAGUUUUGGAGGAUUUGAGCUAAAUGGUAGCCAAGAUUUUGAAGAGUUUUCUUCCUUCCUAAGCUCAAGGUGGCCGGCCAAGAAGGUGAAGACAAGAGUGAAUUUUUUUGUGAUUUUUGAGAUAUUUAUUCAAUUGGUAAGAAAGGUCAAAAAGGUGAAUAGUUGUCAACAAGUGAAACCAAUCCCAACAUGACAAGUGUCACUUCAUUAAUGCAUUCCUAUCCUUCUUUUUUCCUCUCACAUCAAUCACAUCACAUCCUAUACUUAUCUCUUAACACCCGAUAAAUUUCAACCAGUAUCCGAAACUCUACCUAAUUGGCCGAAUUUUUUCGAAAUUUUCGCACUAGUGGGUCGCACGUCCAAUAUAUAUUCUUAAUUUUUCAAAAACUCUCCAAUGCUAGAAAAAUCAUCUAAAAACUUAAUUACUCAUAAAAUUCACCAGGAAAAUUUUCCUAAGCCAGAAAAUGCAGAAAACAUGUCUUUAAAGGGGAAAAACCCUAGGAAAAUUAUUAGGGAAUUUACGGGUUCUCACACUCUCUCCCCUUUAAAAGAAUUUCGUCCUCGAAAUUUCUCACCUUAAUUCCCGAAAAGGUUUGGGUAUUUCUUUCGCAUUUCCUCUUCCACUUCCCAGGUAGCGUCCUCUAUCCAAUGGUUUCUCCAUAGUACCUUCACUAACUGAAUUCGCUUGUUGCGGAGCUCUUUGACUUUCCGAUCAAGCACUUGGACCGGUUUCUCUUCAUAGGCAAGCGAUUCAUCUACUUCAAUUUCCUCCGGUUGUAAUACAUGAGAUGGGUCAGGAUGAUACUUCUUUAGCAUGGAGACAUGAAACACAUCGUGGAUUCGAGAGAGACUGGAUGGCAGUUCAAAUCGAUACGCGACCGCUCCUACCUUCUGAAGGAUCUUGUAGGGGCUGACGUACCACGGUUGAAGUUUCUUUCCUUUGCCCGCUGUGAUACUUCGUAAGGGUGUGAUCUUGAGAAAUACGUGGUCUCCAACUUCAAACUCCAAGUCUUUUUUUCGAUUAUCCGCGUAGCUCUUUUGUCGACUUUAAGCUAUUUGGAUUCGUUGCCGUAUCAACUUGACCUUCUCGUGAGCCUCUUCCAUCCAUGGAAUAGUUGCCGGGUCUAGUGCCUUCUUUUCACCCACUUCGUUCCAGUAAAUCGGCGACCGGCACUUUCGUCCGUAUAGGGCUUCGUAUGGAGCCAUUUGAAUCGAUGAAUGGAAACUAUUGUUGUACGUAAACUCUACCAAAGUCAUGUGUUGACCCCAGUUGCCCCCAAAAUCCAGAAUGCAUGUUCGUAGCAUGUCCUCAAGAGUUUGGAUCGUCCACUCCGACUGUCCAUCCGUCUGAGGGUGAUAGGUCGUGCUCAAAUUGAGUUUAGUCCCCAGGGUUUCUUGAAACUUCUGCUAAAAUCGAGAUACGAACCGUGGAUCCCGAUCGGAGACGAUGCUCACAGGCACGCCGUGUAGCCUUACUAUCUCGUCCAUGUAUAGUCGGGCCAACUUGUCCAUGGAAUACUUCAUGUUCACCGGCAAGAAAUGGGCCGACUUGGUUAAUCGAUCAACGAUCACCCAAACAGCAUCGUGUCCUCUUUGCGUCCUUGGUAAACCGGAAACGAAGUCCAUUGUGAUGUUUGCCCACUUCCACUCGGGUAUCUCCAAGGGUUGUAACAGACCCGAUGGUUUUUGAUGCUCUGCUUUCACCUGUUGGCAAACGAGACAUUUUUGCACGUACUGAGCGAUUUCCCUUUUCAUAUUGUCCCACCAAUAGGUUCCUUUUAGGUCUUGAUACAUCUUACUGCUGCCCGGAUGGAUUGUAUACUUGGACCGAUGGGCUUCCUCCAGAAUCUCCAUUUUCAACGACUCCUCCUUCGGUACCAUUAUUCGGUUUCGAUAUUUCAAAAUGCCCUUAGGACUAAAAUUGAAGUCCGUUGUUUCUCCCUUCUCCACCUUCUCUCCCCACUUCCGUACCAUCAAAUCUUCAUUUUGCGCCUCUUUAAUGCGUUCCAGUAGAGUGGAGGUCACCCUAACGUUACCAAAUAUCACCUUAUGGCUCCCAAGACAGGGUUUCCACUCACAUACUGAUUCUAAUAGAUCCCAUUCUUUGAUCAUUAACCCUGCUACUUGCACCUUGCGACUCAAAGCAUCUGCUACCAUAUUUGCCUUUCCCGGAUGGUAGUUGAUUGUGCAGUCGUAAUCCUCCAGAAAUUCCAUCCAUCGUCGUUGCCUCAUGUUCAAUUCCUUCUGAGAAAAAAGGUACCUAAGACUUUUGUGAUCCGAGUACACUUCGAAGGUCACCCCAUAUAGGUAAUGCCUCCACUUUUUCAGUGAAAAAACAACUGCGGCUAGUUCCAGAUCGUGAGUCGGGUAAUUCUGCUCGUGAGGCUUCAACUUCCUAGAGGCAAAAGAGAUCACAUUACGGUUCUGCAUCAAAACGCACCCCAGGCCUUCUCGCGACGCGUCUGCAUACACCGCGAACCCGUCCACUCCAUUUGGCAAGACCAAUACCGGAGCCGUGGUCAAUCUUCUCUUUAAUUCCUGAAAACUUGUCUCGCAUCGGGCGUUCCAGAUAAACUGACCAUGCUUCUUCGUCAGGUCAGUUAAAGGUCCUGCUAGUUUGGAGAAAUCUUUAAUGAAACGUCGGUAGUACCCAGCUAGCCCUAGAAAGCUGCGAAUUUCUGUGGGAUUUUCUGGUCUCUUCCAAUUUGUCACGGCCUCUACCUUUGCCGGGUCCACCGAAAUUCCUUCGUGGGAGAUUACGUGCCCUAGGAAUGCUACUUUCUCCAACCAGAACUCGCAUUUACUAAACUUGGCAUACAAUUGAUGUUCCCUUAACGUCUGCAACACCACUCUCAAAUGCUCCUUAUGCUCCUCAUGCUCCUCGCGUGUCUUAGAGUAGACCAAAAUGUCAUCAAUGAACACAACGACAAAUUGGUCUAGAUAGGGUUUAAAAACCCUAUGCAUUAGGUCCAUAAAGGCGGCGGGAGCAUUGGUCAGUCCAAAAGGUAUAAUGGCGAACUCGUAAUGCCCAUAUCUCGAGUUGAAAGCAGUUUUCGGAAUAUCCUCCUUCCUAAUUAACAACUGAUAAUAUCCUUGUCGGAGGUCCAACUUUGAGAAGACCACUGCUUCUUGCAGCUGGUCGAACAACUCGUCGAUGUGGGGCAGUGGGUAUUUAUUCUUGAUCGUAACGUUGUUCAGACCCCGGUAGUCAAUAUACAUCCUCAAGGUUCCGUCCUUUUUCUUCACAAAUAGGACAGGAGCUCCCCAAGGAGACCCACUCUCAUGAAUGAAUCCCCGUUCCAAAAGGUCUUGUAAUUGCAACUUAAGCUCCUUAAGUUCUGCAGGCGCCAUUCGGUAAGGGGUUUUUGAGAUAGGAGAGGUUCCAGGUAACAGGUCUAUUUGGAAUUCUAUCUCCCGUUCUGGAGGUAAGGCUACUAACUCAUCAGGGAAUACAUCCGGAAACUCCCUCACUAUGGCCAUGUCUUCCACUUUUAACUUAUCCGUAGGGGUGUUAAUCAAAAAGGCCAAAAAUCCUUGCGCCCCUCUACUUAUCAGUUUCCUAGCUCGAAUGCCCGAAAUCAAAGCAGAUGAGGCUAACCUACCCCUUAUAUCCAACCUUAAGGUUGCCUCGCCAGGAAUGCGAAAUUCUACCACCUUCGUUUUACAAUCCAGUUGGGCGUUAUAUUUGGCUAGCCAGUCCAUACCCAGAAUCAUGUCAUACCCCUUAAUGGACAAGCUUAUCAGGUCUCCUAAAAAUUUCUUUUCACCUACCCAUACAUCACAAUCCCUAUAAACCAUACUAGUCACCAAACGUUGAUUUCCCGUAGGUGUACUAACUUCUAGGUCAUAUGGUAAACUAGCAGGUUUUAUAUCGAUGCCACACAUGAAACCAGGGUUAACAAACGAAUGAGUGGCACCAGGAUCAAUUAAAACUUUGGCAAAACGGUGGAAAAUAGGGAUCGUACCUUCUACGACCUCCGAAGACUCUGGGACCUGAUAGGGCUCUAAGGAAUACACCCUAGUUGGCACUUUAGGUUUGGACCCAUCUCCUUUUGCUGGUCCAGCAUUGGUCCUCGGCGGUGGUUGGCUUCCCUUUCCAUCUUGUUUCAGGACCGGGCAAGUAGCCAAUUGGUGGUCUGCGCUUCCACAUCGCAGACAUUUGCCUUGUUACCUCCAACAGUUAUCUUCGGUGUGGUUUAGCUUCCCACAGUGCCCACAGGGACCGCGAGGUGCUGAAGCCGAACCACUCUGAGCAUUUCCCCUUUGUCCUCGCCCAUCUUGGCCACCCCUGAAUGGAGUCCCUCUACCUGAACCAGAUUGUCGACCACCUCCCGUUCCUCAUCCAAAUUUAGAGGGAGUACUCUUCUCACCCUGUCCAGAACUACUCCCAGGAAAGCCACGCUUCUUCGCCUGGAAGUUCCGGACUUGCAACCGCGCACUUUCAACUCGUUGGGCCUUUUCCACAACCUCGCUAAACGCAUUGAUUUGAGCCACUGCGAGGUCUUUCUGAAUCUCAACAUUCAAAACCUGAAUAAAGGGCCUAAUCCGUCGUUGUUCCGUCAUGAUUAACUCAGGCGCGAACUUGGACAGGCGGGUGAAUUGACUCUCAUAUUCCGCCACAGUCUGAGCCCCUUGGCGGAGGCUAAUAAACUCGUCUUCCUUCCUCUCCUGGACUAGAGGAGGGAAAAACUUUGCAUUGAACUCUCUGAUGAAGUUCACCCAAGUCCUAGGCGUCUGCUCCCGUUCCCAUUUCUGCCUGAUUACGUUCCACCAGGAACGGGCUGCCCCCUCAAGCUGGAACACGGCAAAAGUUACCUGCCGUUCGUCAGGGUAGUGUAGAGCUGCAAAUAUAUCAACCAUCUUUUCAAGCCACCUUUCGGCAACGUCCGGGUCGGGUCCCCCAACAAACUUCGGCGGGGCGAACUUUUGGAAUCGUUCGAGAGCUCUAUCUUCUCUCUCGAGGUGGUUACCAGGGUUCCCGGGGUUAGGAUUUGGGUUUUGGCCCUGUUGCUGCACCACCUGUGCUAGCAAGUUUGUCAUUUGCUGCAUAGCAGCAGCUAUUUGCACAUUAGGGUCUGCUUGUGGUUCAAGAUUGGGUCCAGUAGAGGUUUCCCAAUACCCCUAAUCGGUGUGGGUUGUCUAGUACCGCGCCCACGUCCCCGACCACUCCGUGUACCUUCCAUAGGUUUUACUUGGUCUAGGCAAGAGUACUAAACCAAAGUAGUAACAAGGCAUGUAAGUAACACUCAAAACUUGCACAAUAACACAUAUUUAGACAUGCCAAACAUGAUCACAAACGUAUAUAUACAAGCCAAACAAGAUCAAGCCACACACAUAUAUACAAUCAGUCGAGUCAAGUUCAGUCAAGUCAAGUACAAAACAUGGACAAUCCCCAAGGGAAUGGCCUUAACAAAAGAAAUAUACACGUAGCUAAUCUAGCCGUACAAAAUAAUUAGCUAAGGCCCUACUCCCUAUCCGCCCUAUAUACAAGACCAAAACUAUCUACAACAACUCUAGGAGUCGUAACCUAGACCAAUGACGAGCUAUGGGACCCACCCGACGGAGUGGAUCCAACCCCAGCCUCAGACCCCGCACAGGAGUCCUCGUCGCUUACUCCCUCCACCACCUCGGCGCAGAAGUUCAGGAUCGCAGCGGCUCGAUUCUUCACCUUUCGAGCCCUCUUAGACUCGCGCUCACGCGUCUCCCUAAGCUGGGUACAGAGAUCAUCAACUCUAUCCUCAACCUCUAGUACAUCGUACUUCAAAUCCUGAAUGCGCUUAGCAUGUUUCUCAUUAUCUGCCCUCAACUGCUUCACCUCAGUCUCAAGCCUAGCGUUAUCUUUCGCCAACGCCUUCCGCUCCUUUGCCACAGCCAACACUAAGGUGUUAGGGUAGGCGUAGGCAUGGCGACACUCACACCGACGAAGGCGACUCGCCGGACUCCAACGCAAGACGGCCCCUCUCGGCCGAAUCUGGUACGGGAUCACCGGGAGCGCUACACGGGGUCGUUCGCCUGCAGGGCCAUCACUCGGUCCACUAGAUCUGUCCAUCCUACACCAAAAGUGUAAAUAAGCAUCAAUAAGCUUAAAGACCAUAAACAAUAACCCUCAAAUCAAGCAUUCCUAUAACACCCUGGCUAAUUCAAACCUAGGCUCUGAUACCAC